GGAGCGUGUGUGGUUAACCGGCACAUUGAUUAGGUGGUUUGUAACAUUGGGUGUACCAAGCUAAUUUGCAUAGUUAUUCAGACUUUGUUUGUGAUCCUCGACAUCCCAGUCACAAACUUGAAAGGCACAAUCGAGAUUUAAACAUGCCAUUGAUAAAAUUCAAUGAAUCUCAAAGGAUCUCGAAAUUUCAAUCCAUUUAAAACUUAAUAAUCAAUUUCGGUUUUCAUGGUGGAAAUUGGUAAAUCGUUGUUUACCUACCUUCAAAUAUUUUGCAAUUGGAUUACGACAUCCCUCUUCUGAAUUGUAUUAUAUUGUGUCGGGUCCUAGCCUUAAUAUUUCAUUUGGGUGUUAUAUUAAGGACUUAAAUCAACUAACUUGAAUUUCUCCCAUUAUAGAUGUCUAGUUCUGACAGCUGUGGUCUUCCUCAUCCUUUUGGAAAAAGAUUUCUCCAUAAAGAUGAUAUUCCACAAGACGACCAAUGUGAAAGAUUAAUCCAUUCUUCGUGUUGUAGUGGAAGUUCACUUCCUCCACCUCCUCCAAUAAUUCUCCCUAACCCACAAGUUCAAAGACUUGAAAAAUUCAAGAUCACUUAAGCCCUACUUGAAAUGAAACAUCAAGAUGGAAGGUUUGUGUGUACUCAUGUCUUGGAGAUGAAUUCACAUAUUAACAGGCUGAGAGUAUUGGGUGUCGUUGUCUCGAGGAAGUUGGUUGUUUACUAGCUUCUUCAAUCACUUCCCGAGUUAUAUAGUGAGUUCAUUAAGGACUACUAUGUGACAGACCAUGACAUGACCCUUAUUGAUCUUACCUAUUUGCUUGUUGUUGCGGAAUAACCAAUGAGUUGGCGCACUAGAAAAGCAAAUUUGAUUGGAAAAUCUACUUCUCUAACUUCCAUGGACAUUGACAAUGGUAACAUUGGAAGUCCAGAAAACAUUUCACUUCCCAAUGGAAAGGGAUCGACCAUAGUAAACCCGGUUGACCAAAUGGUAAAGAGAAAGGCUAAGUUUGUGAUUGUCUCAUGUGCCAAUGCAAAAGUAGCCAUUUGUUUCUACUGCCAUUUGAAGGGACAUUGGCAGCGAAGCGAAGCUGCCCUGACUACCUGAAAGAUCCGAGAGAAGGUAGAAUCAAAAAGUUUGUCUCUACUUCAGGAUCAUGCAAAAGGAAGGAAGCUUAAAGGAAGAGUAUGUUGCAUCUAGUCAUGAAGAUGGAUUUCAAUCGCAUGGUUCGAUGAUCGGAUUUUUGAGCUGCUACUUAAGAGUUAUGAUAGAUUGUUUAGAAAUAUGUAGUAACAUAGUUUCAUUUGUAAUUGCAUUGUAAGAAAAAGUUUUUCCUCAUUUUAUAAAUAUAUAAAAUUUUGUUUAUUUCUUAUUAUAUCUCCUUAGAGUUACAUUUGUGAAAAUUCUUUCUUAUAUGUUUCCAUUGGUAGCAAUAUCGGAAAAUGGAUUUGAUUCUUUCAUCUAUGGUAGUGUCGAGAAUUUACCAAAUAAGGAAAGAUUCUAAUCACCCAAGUUUCAAUUGGAUAGAAACUUGGAAUCAUGCAAGUUGUAUUGUGUGAUGAAUGAGAACCUUCAUCUUUGGGAAAUUAAGACUAAUUCCUUGUUUACAUGUAUAUGUGUGUCAAGUGAAGGACUAGGGGAUCGGGUACACUUGGUUGUGUGCUGGUCAGGUCCACCACAAAGAACGAUAAGAUUAUUCGUUUUGAUUUACUAAAGUUUAGUAAAUAUGGUUAUACUUACAAGAUUAAGUAUAAUUCUGAAUCGUUGAAAUGAUUUCAAUGUGUAGCAGAAAGAAUAAGAUGAAUCAAAUUAGGUAGAAAGAUAAAAUUUUCUCCAAUAUGAAAAGAUAGGAGUGUACUUUAGUAUCGUGUUUUAUGAUCAUCUUAAUGAUUAUGAAAACCAUGUCACUCUUGAUCCUCUAAGGAUAUCUUAGUGCAUUUGUAUGGCUAAGACAAGGAAUCAUGAGUUGUUGAAAUGGUUAAAUCUAGAAGAUGAGUCAUAAUUUGUUCCACAUGCAAGUCUUAGGGUCAUACUGCAAGAUUGUAACCUUGAGUGACAUAAUCUUAAGGAAGGUUUUGAACACUCAUGAAAUGUAAAGUAAAAUGUUUCUGAAUCUUGUACAUUAGAAAUUGGUAAGUUGUGAUGUCCUGGAUAAGGACAAAGAUCAACUAAGACCAAUUGUAUGAAGUGUUUAUCUUGAUAAUAAUCCGCACUAACUCUUGAAUAUUUGUUUGUCAAGGAAUAGUUAAUGAAAAGAGAAUCUUAUAUGUCAAGAGGUCAGUAGGAGUCAUAAAGAUCUUGACAGGUUUCAAGAACUAAUCAAGAAUAAACCUAUUGUUAAUCACUAGCACACGGCUUGAGGUUUGUAACCUAUCGUGCUGACAUAUUCUUAUUUCUGUGCUCAUUCCAGUUAAAAGUUGACUAUACAUGGGAGUUCUAUGAGUUCUCAGUGAUUUGCAUAAAGCAAAACACCUGGAUCAAUGAAAGUUUCAUUGAUCUGUAUGGUUGAGCUGCAUAAAAAUUUGGAAGACAUGGUAGGCCCUUGUGCUGCCAAGUGGCAAGAAAUUAAGAUUGAACAAGUUCAGUCCAUAUGAGUUUGGAUUUGUCACGAACCUCAUCUUAUGAUUAUGAUUAUGACAUAUUCAAAUGGAUUGGAACACAUACACCAUAACAUCUAAAUGUCAUAAGGUUUCUCUCCAACUCAUGAAAAUGAUUGUGAUGUAAAGCUUUCACUAAGUAGAUUUUAAGGAGAUAGCAAUUGUGUUAUUUUCAUUCUCAAAUUUGUUUAUGAUUACGACAUCCCUCUUCAUAGUUCGAAUUGUGAGAAAUGGAAAAGGACUAAACAUUUGAGACUUAUUGCUGUAAGUUCUAAAAUUGUUUAGACACACAUGAGAGCUAUCUAAGGAAAGGUGUAUGAGUUUGAGAAGCCAAGAUAAAAUAUUAUCGAAGCAUCUCGUAUCAGAAAUCUUAACUUUGGUAAGAAAGUCAAUAGGUAUUGAUUUCUAGAAGUCUGGCUGAUUUUUAAAUACAUGUCAAAGCUAGUGGGAGAAUAACUGUUAUGCUAGUAAGAUAAUAAUUAUUAUGCUAGUGGGAGCAUAAUUAUUAUGGAAAGUGUUGAAACUUGGCAAUGUUAAGUGUAGAAAACAAAAGUUUCAAUUUGCAAAGAUGCGGGGUUUGGAAAGUUGUUUUGCUAUAAUUAAGGGAGAGGAAUUCAUACUUCAUUUCAAAUCUAAAAGCUUAGGUUGAGAUUUUAAUCAAAUUUAGUCAUAAAUAUAUAUAUGAAUGUUAUGUUGGAAUGGUUCGACAUAAGGAAAUUCUAUAUAUGGAAAUGAUAAUUGCGUUCUCAAAUUCGAUUAUGAUUACGCAACCCUCUUCAUAAUUCGAAUUGUGUGAAUAUGGAAAAUAGAAAUACUAUAGCAAAAGACCGAUCAAGAGGGAAAAAUGAUAAUUGGGUUCUGAAAUUCGAUUAUGAUUAUGACAUCCCUCUUCAUAAUUCGAAUCGUGUCCCAUAUGCUUCGGGUAUAGGAUCGAUUGCAUAUGCUAUAAUAUUCUUAUGUUCUAAUUUUCCAAAUGCCUAGGGCAUUAAGAGGGAAAAAGGAAUAGAACCAGAUAUGACUAAAGUGGUUAAGCAACUUUUAAGGACAAUCUAAGUUUCGCCAAGGAUUGGUCGCUUAAGGACAGUUAGAAGUAUAGUAUUGGAUGGACCAUAUUGACAUUAGUAUAAAUAGACAGGAGUCUAUUAAUACUGAGUUGUUGUAUGGCAAAUAUGGAAUAUUUCUGUUUUGGGAGUUGAAGAAUAGAUGAGAAAGUUAGAAACUUUUAUGCAAGAAGGAUGUUCAAAGGAAUGUACUUUGAAUUUAAGACUUCAUUUCAUGGAAUUGUCUUGUAACAAUCUCUAAAGGAAUAUUUUGUAACAUCUUUGGUCACUUCUCUAUGACUUUCGGUACAUUGACCUUACAAAAUAAUCAUUGCAUGAUAGUUUUGAAUCUAACACUUUCUAACAGUGAAAAGAAUUUGGAAUUCCUACACUUGUAAUAAGGAUUUGGAAUUGUGAAAUGAGCAUCAUUGAAAUGUUCUCAAUUGAUCUAUUUCACAAUGUAAGGACCAUAGACAAAAAUAGUGUUCAUGCUUGGAGCAUGGGACAACUAUUGUUUAAAUUCAAGUAUUAAGUUGAGUAUUCAAAACAUUAUACAAUGAAUUGAUGAGAAUUGUUAUCGAGAAUUAAGAAAUGAAACAAUAGAUUUGAAUGAUGAAAGAUGCUGAACACACGGAGUAAAUAUUAAUCAGAUCUCGUUUUAUUAAGACUGAUUACAAUGUAAGCUGAAGAGAGAUAUUAUGUUUCGAUAUCUUGUGUCUACUUCAAGUCUAAGUCCCUAUUUAUAGGGAGCAUACAAAAAAUAUACUAAGUCUAUACAUUGACACUUCGCAUACUACACUUCGCAUGUAAAAUUGACUUAGUAAAAUAACAUACAAAAUGUGAAUCAUUAAAAUAGACACUAUUCGACUUUUACAACAUACAUCUACAUUCUCCCCCUUUGUAAACAGUCGAUACAAUUCAACUUAAAAGCUUUUGAAUUGCAGAGUGAAUUGUUCUUCGCACUUCUCCAUACCAAGAGAUCACCUUCUUCAAGUCCUUCUUGUCUCCUUCGUUAUUUUUCUUGCAAUUGUUCAUACGUACAAUGAAGUGCGUAUAUUGCAAAGAAUUGUAUCUUUCAAUCUCUGAAGCUUUGAACAAGAACUUCUUCGGUUUUCCUUUAGCGUCUCUUCCUGAAAACACCAUGCCAAAUGGUUUAAGGCAUAUCUCACCCACAACAUAUUUCGACAGAGCAGAUUGUGUCAAAGUAUCUUCCCAUGGAACUUUAACUUCUCUUCCUAGCACGUUUGCUAACUCUUCAUCAGUAAGUGUCAGACAAUCGAAAUAGUUGUCGAUAAAAGUCUUCACAUGUGCGAAUCCGACUUUAAACACAUCUGUUUCCGAGCCUUUGAGUUUGUUUUCUUCCAUGUGCUUCAGAAUAAGAGCUACUUGAAUGAGAUCGUUGCAAUUCAACAACGGAAAAUCAGCAACAGUGAAGUCGUAUUGUUUGUUGUCAGCCCUGAUGACAAAAUAUCGAAAAUUUUGAAGCAUGUCUUCAAACAGAACAUCCUUCUUUAUCGUAAUCACCUUCUUGAUCUUCAUCAGGGACCAAACUUCAUCAGGAUUCUUCCCAAGAACAGCAUGAAAUCUGAUUUUCAUGUGAGUAUAAUCAUCUGGAUUAUGAAAUUUCUCACUAAUCUUGUAUUGAGCCGUAAUAAACAACAUUUCAUUAAUUGGGAAGUCCAACUGACAGUGAUCUGAGUUCGCAAUAUCUGAACCUCUCUUAGGCUUCUUCUCGAACUCAUACAUCUCCCUUCCUACAACUUUAGACUCUAUAGUUUCGUAAGAGUAAGGUUUCGCAGGAUCUCCUUUGUUCAUGGAGGGAGGAUCACUUGCUCUUUGUCUCAUGAUACUCUGAACUUGUCUCAUUCUUUCCAAUUCAGCCUCAGCAUCAGCUUUUAACUCCUCCUUUGACUUUUCGUAUAAGAUGCCCUUUCCUUUUCCUGUUACAUCUUUCUGAGUUUGAGAGCUAGAACCUCCUUCGUUUACUCCAAUAACAAUUCCCUUGGAAAUUGUUUUUGUGGUUAUUGUUGUUGAAGAAAUUGGUUUUGUAGGAAUUAGAAGAGUUGCAACCAGUUGAGUCGAAAUGACUUUUCCCACUGUUUUAGCUUCACCUUCUUUGCUUCGACUUUUCUAUCCCCCUUGCACCCCUGUGAAAACNCACUCUUCGGAAGUAAAGAAGUGAAAUAUGAAAGCGGAGCAAGAGCCUUUUGAAUAGCUUGUUCUAAAGUGUUAAUCUUUAGAGACAAGAACUUAGGUGUAAGAAUUUGCGAAGAUGAUGAAUGCGAAACUGCUGAUUUAAGCUCAGUGACUAAUUUGAUCAAGUGAUCAAACUUCUCCAUUGUAGCAGCUUUCUGAUCUUCAACAACAGGAAUAUUAUUGAGUUUGUGGAGUUGAGAAGAAAUUUCCACAAUUUGCUUUUGAAGAUCUUCUUGUUUCGUAUGCACAUCUUGAAGAUUCUUCGCAAGUUCAGACUUCAAUUCCUGAAUUUUGAAGUUGACAUCCUCACGAACUUUCUUGACGUCUUGUACAAAAAGAAUGUGUCGUUCUUUUGUAGCAGCUUUAAGGUCUUGAACUGCAGACGUAAAAUUGUUCCCUUGUGCUUUCACUCUGAGCUCAUUGUUUUUAUCUGACUAAUCUACUUUCUCCAUGAUUCUUUUCUCAGCUCCAUUAAUCAUAACAUCCACCUCCAUUGCUGAGAUUGAAGACAUUCUCCCAGAAUCGGCUUGCGAUUGUAUAAUAGCCUUCAACUUUUGAUUCAGUAUUUUAAACUGCUUUCCUGUCAUCAGCAUAUGAUCAGGAAUGUCUUCUUCAUCGGAAUCAAAAGUAAUGUCAUCUAGAACUCCUCCAAAAGCACCUCCUUCGAAUUCAGGAUCAGACAUUUGUUGUGAAGGUGGAGGAUUUUCAGGUGAUUGGGAUGGAAAAAGUGUGGUGAAUGGGUUUUGAAGGGCAUGAUCAAAAAUGGAUGAAGUGGUGGAUAAAGUGGUAAUAGGUAAGGAUGUUUGGAUUGUGGAUGCAACACUCGGGAUAGGUGCCCCCGUAUCAGAUACGUUGAAAACCAUAUCCGAAAUAGGUACCUCCUCAGUAACUGGCUUGGUAAGAACUAUUUCGAGUGGUUGGGUUUGUGAAAUAGUAGUGGAAAUUUGCGAAGUUUGAGAGAUUGGUAAAGAGACAUUUACCAUAGUUGUGACAGGUGGAGUUUCUGGGAUAACUUCUUCAUCUGAUGAUUCAUUGCGAAUCACCAUCUUCCUCCUCUUGCCCAACGUGCGUUGCAUGUUUUUCGCAACAUCUUCAGCCCGUUGGCGUUUCAUUCCAGGAGAGACUGGGGCAGGAAUACUGCGAAUAGUAACUCCUUUACUACUCACUUCUGCUUUGCGAAUUUGUUUUAAAACCCCAGACUUGGAUGGUAAAACUUCCUUCUUCGACACUUCAUCUUGUACAGUUGGUGAAGAUGAACCCUUCGUAGUUUUCUUGCUCACCUUCUUCUUCUUCGACGGAGUAGCAAUGUCGGGUAAUACACCUGUUUGAUUAGCUGUAUCGAUGUUUCGCAAAUAUCUCACCAACACUUUGUGAGUGGGAGAAACUUUGCGAAGCAUCGCAUCCGGAAUGCGACCCACACGCGAGAAAAUUGCUUCAUCAUCUUCAACCACUUUUGGAAAUUGGUAUAACGAAAAUUCAGCAACUUCGACAUCCGUCAUGAUUGGAAUUGCUUCUUUCUCGUAUACUUUCUCCAGGAUCAAACUCCAGUAUCUGGCACAAGAUAUCCCCUUCUCCGAAUUCGUGUUUUCCAGGCUUUUCACAAAUUCUUUCCAAAGCUGAGUCGCGUAAUCGACAUUAAUGUCAUAGUAUAUGCCCAUUACCAUGGAAUACACUUCGACUCUUCCUCUAUCCAUGCCUACUGAUCUUCCGAUAAGGCAUCGUAGAAAAAUGCCAAAAAGAAAAUUCCAGAUGCAUGGUAAUCCCGACUUCUGGAAGUCACUGAUCUUCUCCAACUCCGAUUGAUGUCCCAUCUCAUUGAACAUGUGGAUGAUCUGAGAGUUUACAGGUUUAACAAAGGGAGGGUUGUUUGGAAUCUGCAAGAACUCCACGAACAAAUUCUUUGACAGUUUAACCCUUUUGUUGUUGAUGAGAUUGAAGGUAAUCACAUCCGCCGUGUGAUUGUAUGAAGCCGUGGAAGCAGCACGAGAUAACCACACCAUCGGAACUGGGAAUGAUCGGAACAUUGUAGUUGAUAACGGUGAUCGUUUCUGUUAGGCUGAAGUUCUGUUUUGUGUUGUGUCUUUUGGGCUCGUAGAUUAGCCUUGUAUNNNNNNNNNNNNNNNNNNNNNNNNNNNNNNNNNNNNNNNNNNNNNNNNNNNNNNNNNNNNNNNNNNNNNNNNNNNNNNNNNNNNNNNNNNNNNNNNNNNNGAUCUAAUCGAUCUUUAUAGAUUAAAAGUUGUUUUAAUCCUAUCAGUUUCAAAGCCACAAUUAGCAUCUUCAAGUCUUCUGGAUAUGCGGAAACGUUGGGAUCAACUUGAUAAUUGGUGCUUUGAAUCUUCAUAACUGAUUGAGAAAGGACCUCAUCAGUGUUGGAAUUUGUGGCUGCCAUUGUUAGGGUUUGAAAGAAACUUGAAUUUUGGAUCAAGAUGAAAGCUUUGAAGGUUUGUGAGAAUUCUUAUUUGCGUAACCGUACAUAGUGUUCUUGAUCCCCCUUUUAUAGGUUACUCAAAAUUUAUUUGAAAUUAAAGCGGGAUACAUUUAAUGUUAUUCAAUGUGGCACCUUGAAUCUCGGAUCAUGACUGUAAAAGAUUACUAUGCAGCAAAAAGUAACUGUCACAUCUCCUCGAAAACCAGAUAGAAUACCAACCAUUUUGAGUAUACAGCCUGUCAAGUAUCCGUUAUAGAAUCCGAACCGGUAAAACCCUUCGCAUGGAAGCAAGGCUCUUUCACUUUUGGGAUUUAAAGUGAAGUCAUAUGCCAGACUUGCGAAAUCAUCAGUCUGAGUUGGUUUUACUCAAAACCUCAAGGAUUUCGUGUGUGCAUUGUGCCAAUGGAAUAAGAUAAGAAUCAAGAAAUUUUGGAAUGUUGUGAUGUCAAAAGUUUAAUUUGACAUGAAUGCAGAAAAACCCCAGGCAAAGGUUGAUUUGUUAAUCAUCAAGAGAGACAAUCAACAGCUUGUGUAGUUUCCCGUGAAUUACAAUCGAAUACUUGUAAAGAAGUAUCAAAGGGCUUCUUUUAAAAGUCAUUUUGGGUUGGUUUGAAAUUUCAUUACAUAUCAGCCUUAACAUAAGGUGAGAAAUUGUAAAUGAAAUUACUUGUUUGACCAGUGUAGUCAGUGACAAGUUGGCUUGUGAAAAUAUUUAUCAUGACAAGAAUUUGCGAAUGAAACUUACACUGAAAUCAUAUUCAAGAGAAAAUUUGUUUUGGAUCUUGUUGGGUAACAAAUAUUCUUGGUUGUAAAUAUUUGAUCAAGACCACGCAUGCGAAUUGAAUAUGAUUUGAAGUUUCGAAAUUUUUGAUACUGAAACAAAGGUUUCGUAAAAAUCUGGAACAAAGUUCCCCGUCAAUUCCUUAAGGUGUAUGAUUUUUGGGUUUCACUUUCAUCACGGACUCAUGAUGUUAGAUCUUAAACACAGAGUUGUGAUUUGUCUAGGUUUUGAUUGGUUUUAUCAAAGACCUCAAGGACAAAUCUUUUCAAAAAAAAUUUGGAGUGUAAGAACUGUUUGGUUUAAAAAGAUUGGUUAAGAAUCGAAGUGUACCUCUGUUAUAAUGACCAAGACAGAAAACUCUUAACUCAUUUGAGAAGAGUAAGGUAGCUCUUGUUGAUUUAUGCGAAUACAAGACUUGUUGGGUAGAAAUGUUCAUGAGAUACUUUCAUCAAGUCUUUCAUUUCUUACACAUAGAAUCAUUCGAAGCUUGAGAUCUACAUACAACAACAUGCUUCUAGGGACAUCCUAACUAGUUUGUAAAAGAAAUUUAAUACCUUCCCAUAGAAACACAAAUGUAUGACCUCUUCGCAUUGUAGCCCUGUAUUCAAUUCUCAACACACAGUUUAAUGAAGAAUGAAAACAAAAAUAUUUUUGUGAUUUUUGAAUUUUUCAAAAAUGAAAGAACAAAACAAAUAAAAUCUUUUUAUAUUUUUGAUUUUUCAAAAUUAAAGAACAAAAAUAAAAUCUUUUUGGAUUUUCGUUUUUUCAAAAAUAAAACAAAAAUAAAAUCUUUUUGGAUUUUUGGUUUUUCAAAAAUAAAACAAAAAUAAAAUAUUUUUGGAUUUUCGAUUUUUCAGAAAUAAAACAGUAUGUGUAAACCUUACCAUAGUGAUUUUGAGCUCGGAUGCGAAAAGAUGUGGUUGCGAAGCCAUGCGAAGCCUCUGAAUGAACAGUAACCUCUGAACGAUUUUGAUGCUGAGCUGUACAAAACUUUUAUUCUUGUGUUGACGAAAGGGAAUUCGCAUUAAUCAUCCCCAAACCUGCUAAAAUUCGAACAAAUGAUUUUUCAUCAAGAGGUUUUGUAAAAAUAUCAGCAAGUUGUUCAGUUGUUUUGACAAAAUGUUUUUCAAUAUUCCCAUCUUCCACAUGAUCUUUAAUAAAAUGAUAUCGAAGAGAAAUGUGUUUUGUCUUUGAAUGUUGUACUGGAUUGUGACAAAUGUGAAUUGCACUUUGCGAAUCACAAUACAAAGGAAUAUUGUUCAUGUUUAUUGCAUAAUCAUGAAGUUGACUCUGAAUCCAAAUAAUUUGCGAAGUGCAAGCAGCAACAGCUAUGUAUUCUGCCUCAGCGGUUGAUAUAGCCACACAAGUCUGUUUCUUUGAUUGCCAGCUCACUAACUUUCCAUCCAAUAGUUGACAUCCACUAGUCGUACUUUUUCUAUCCAAAGUACGUCCUCCUAGAUCGGAAUCUAAAAAAGCUUGAAUGAAAAAUCCUGUUUUCGCAGGAUACCAAAGUCCUAAAGAAACAGUUCCCUUGAGAUAGCGAAAAAUAUUUUUCACUGCAGUCAAAUGAGGCUCUCUUGGAUUAGCUUGAUAUCUAGCACAAAAACAAACCGAAAGCAUAAUAUCAGGUCUACUUUCAGUUAAGUACAAUAAAGACCCUAUCAUGCUGAUACAGUGUUAGAUCAACAGCAGGAGCAUCUAACGAAGGAGUUAGUCUUGUUCCUACUGCCAUAGGUACUCUGAGCUUUGUGCUAUUUAGCAUUCCAAACUUUUCAAGCAAGUUCUUCGUAUAUUUUUCUUGAUUGAUUAAGAUUCCUUCUCUGUUCUGCCUUAUAUUUAAACCAAGAAAAUUAUUAAUUUUUCCCAUCAUGCUCAUUUCAAACUGACUUUUCAUUAAAUUUUCAAAUUCAAUUGACAAUGCUGGAUCAGUUGAACCAAAGAUAAUAUCAUCAACAUAAAUUUGAACAAGCAUUAGAUGACACCCAACUUUCUUGCGAAAUAAUGUGGGGUCAACUGAUCCUUGUUUAAAUUUAGAUUGUUUCAAGAAAUUUGUAAGUGUUGCGUACCAGGCCCUUGGUGCUUGUUUUAACCCAUAUACAGCUUUGUCAAGGACAUACACAUGAUCAGGAUACUCACUGUUUACAAAUCCUGGUGGUUGUUCAACAUACACUGUUUCUUCGAGUUUUCCAUUUAAGAAUGCACAUUUAACAUCCAUUUGAUAAACAUCAAAGUCUUUGUGAGCUGCAUAGGCUAAAAAUAUGCGAACUGCUUCAAGUCUUGCAACAGGUGCAAAUGUUUCUUCAUAGUCAAUGCCUUCUUGUUGCGAAUAACCUUUUACCACUAGUCUUGCUUUAUUUCGAAUAAUAUUGCCAUCUUUUUCAGUUUUGUUUUUAAAAAUCCAUUUUAAUCCAAAAAUUGAAAUAUCAGAAGGUUUAGAAACUAAUCUCCAAACCUUGUUUCAUUCAAAUUCAACAAAUUCAGAUUGCAUAGCAACAACCCAAUCUGAAUGUUCCAUAGCAUUCUUGACAGUUUUUGGCUCUAUUUUCGAAAUAAAAACAUUAAACAUGCAAAGUUCUUGGUUUGCAUUCAGUACCUCAUUUUUCGCACGAAUUUGAGCUCUAGUCAACACACCUUCUUGUAGAUUUCCAAUUACCUGUUCUUUUGGAUGAUUUCGUGUCCAUUUCUCGAGUGGUGGAAAAUUUGGAUCAAAUUCUAAUGGUGCAUCUUCAUACAUAUCUUCAUUUUCAGAUCCUGCAACAGAAAAGUUAUCAUUAACUUCAUGAAAUUCUUCAUUAUUAUCAAGAUUAAUUGUCUCUGUUUCAUCAUGCUCNCCAUCAUGCUCCCCCUCAACUUGAUGUUCUUGUUGAUUUCGCGAAGGCUCCCCCUCAACUUGAUGUUCUUGUUCCCUAUGAACAUCUGGUGUGCCUUCACAAGUUAUCGUUCAUUCAUCAGUAUGUUUUGAAGAUUCUGAUGUUUGAUUAUCAGGAGCAUUAUUUUCUGCAUCAAUGGCCCUGUCAGGAUUUCCAAAAAUUAAGUCAUAAUCAAAAUCAUUGAUUUCAGAAUUAUCAAUUGGAGUAUUUGAAUCUACAAGUAUUGGUUUAUUAUCAAAUUUACUAUCAAUUUGUUUAAGAUAGUAAUCAUCAAAUGUUAAAUUGAAAGUUUCUUCAAUUUUUCUUGUUCGUUUGUUUAGCACUCUGUAUGCAACUGAAUUCUGUGAAUAUCCUAAAAAGAUGCCUUCAUCAGCUUUAGCUUGAAACUUGGACAAAUUAUCUUUUAGAUUCAUGAUAAAGCACCUGCAACCAAAAACAUGAAAGAAUUUUACAUUAGGUUUCCGAUUAUUGAUUAUUUCAUAUGGAGUAACAUUAAAUCUUCGAUGAAUGAAUGAUCGAUUUUGAGUAAAACAUGCUGUGGACACAGCUUCUGCCCAAAGAUAUUGAGGUAGAUUCGCAUAUGUCAACAUGGUUCUCGCAGCUUCGCAGAGAGAUCGAUUUCUUCUUUCAACUACACCAUUCUGUUGUGGUGUAUAUGGUGAUGAAAAAUUAUGCGAAAUGCCUUUUCUUUUGAGAAAAUUGUCAAGAGUUUGAUUUUUAAACUCAGAACCAUUAUCACUUUUAAUUUUUCGCACAUUCUUCUUCAGACUAACUUCAAUCUUUUUGAUAAAAUCAAUCAUCGUCUGAGCAACUUCAGAUUUCAACCUGAGAAAAAACACCCAUGUAAAUCUAGAGAAAUCAUCUACAACAACUAAAAUAUACCGCUUUUUGUUUAUUGUUGCAACAGUUGAUGGUCCACAUAGAUCAAUGUGAAGAAGUUCCAAUGGAUCUACUAUUUUUGAAUCUAUCACAAUCGGAUGACCCUUUCGAUGUUGUUUUCCUUGUUCGCAAGCUGCACACAAAGAAUCAUUGUCAAAUUUUAGUACUGGUAACCCUCGAACUAAAUCUUCAGUUACAAGUUUAUUUAUAUUUCGAAAGUUCAAGUGUGACAAUCUUCUAUGCCAAAGCCAACUAAGAUCAUUGGAUGCUUUUGAUAGUAAACACACAGCUGGUUUUCCCACAAUCGGUUUGAUGUCCAGUGUAAACAUAUCACCAUAUCUUUUGGAUUUGAGGAGUAUUUCAUUCGUCUUGACAUUUGAAAUGAUACUUCCUUCUUCAUUGAAUACAACUUGAUUUCCAGUACCCACUACAAGUUGUGAUACACUUAUCAAAUUAUGUUGAAGUCCUUCAACAUAGGCCACUCUGUUUACUGUAAAGUUUCCAUUUGUGACUUUCCCAUAUCCUUUCACUUGACACUUGUGAUUAUUUCCAAAUUUGACAACUCCAGCAUUUUCCAAGCUUCUGUAAUCUCGCAAAUUUUCUUUUCAUCUAGUCAUGUGAAGAGAGCAACCACUAUCAAUGUACCAUUUCAUAUCAUAUUGCUCGUCACAUAUCACCUGCAUUUAUUGAAAAAAUUUAGGAACCCAAGACUUUUUGGGUCCAUCAUUAGUAGAAUGAAACAAAUUUUUGGAAUUUAAGAACCAUGUUUUCACUUUGUUUGUAACUGAAUCAAUUAUAUCAACAUCAUCAGUUCUAGAUUUUGAAAUAUAAUCAUUCAAUAAUUUUGGAUUUCCAUUAAUUGUAAUCUUAUCCUUCACAACAUUCGCAUUUUUGAUAACUGGUUUCCAUUUUUGAACUGGAACUUGCGAAUUAUGAGAUGAUGCACUUUCAAUUGAAGAAUUAUUUGUGUACUUAUCAAAUGCACUUUUGAUUUGUUCUUCUAAAAAUUUUCCACUUUGAUAUUUCUUUCCUUUCCCUUUAAACCAAUGAUUGAUCAUUCUAACAUCAGAUUUUCCUUUUGUAUAUGAAACUUUGGUUGAUUUUGAUAUUGAAGGAUUUGGAAAUUUUGGUUGUUUUAGUGAAAAUUUCAUUUUGACUUGAGUUGAGUUCUUCAAACUUGAUGAAGUAUUCGUGAAUUUGCCAACAUUUUGAAACUUUUGAUUAUUUGCAAAUUUUUGCGAAUUCUCAAAUUUUCGAUUGUUGUCAUAUUUGCGAACAUAUGGAACCUUGUCAACAGAGUUUAUUUGUUUAUGAAAACUUGAAUAUGUUUUUGUGUUUUUAUCAAUUGAUGAUGUUUUCGACAUUUGUUCUUUUUCAUCUUUUGAUUUUUCAUUAGACACAACUUGCCAGAAAAUUGCUUUUCUUGCUUUUCUUAUUGAAACAUUAUUUUCUUUUGAAAAAUUUCCAACCAUCAAUUUGAAUUCAUGAGAAUUUAUUUUCCCUUCAACCUUUGGGUUUUCAACUUUUUUCAAAAUUUUGUUUGAUUUUUCACCUUUAACCACCCAUUUUUGUGUUGAUUUUUGUUUUUGAAACACAUAAGGAUUUUUGGUUAAAUUGUUUUCUUCUGUGCUUUGAUUUGCGAAAAAACCUUCAGUUGUGGACUUUUGAUUAUCUUUUUCAAUCAUUUUAUUAAAAUCAGGAUGAACUUUCUCAGCAUUUCCAGUAGUGACAAAAAUUUGAUUUGGGAAAAUUUUGUUAUCAGUACAUACAAAAUUUGGAUAUACCACAGUGUUGGUUUCCAAAUAAUGUGCGCCUUUAUCAUUUAAAAUUUUAUCAAAUUCUUUUGUAUCUUCAAACACUUGAUCAACAACAACCCUUUGAGGUGUUUCAGUUGAAACUUUCUUUUCUUCUUUAUUUAUAUCUGUGUCAUCAGAUUUCCAGCUUUCAACUUCCACAUUAUCAAACAUACAAUGUUGCGAAGUUGAAGGUUUAUCAAUUUCAUCCUCUACUAUUGAAUCAACUAUUAUUUCUUUACCUUUGAUCUUAGAUGUGAUAUUAAUGAUUGACAAUUGAGAACAAUCAACCUCUUCUUCCUCUUCUAUUUCACUAAUUUCACUUACAUUAUCAGAAUUUUCAUCAAUAUCAGCAUAAUUCAACUGUGAGGCAAGAGUUGAAUUUUCAGUUUUCUUUAUGAUUUUCACUUGUUCACUCUUUGUCAAACUUUCAUUGACAAUGUUAACCAACUCAUCAGCAUUCAGAAAUUCAUCAAUUUUGACAAUACCAUAUGCAUAUCUAUCAUCAGGUAUUUUGUCAAAUUGAGCAAUUGUGCUUUCGCAAUCAUAAGAAACAACAUCAACUUUUUCACGUUCAUACUCAAGAAAAGGUAAAAGUUUUCUAUGUUGUUCUUUGCUAAUAUCAGAAGAGUGAUGUAAAGCUGUUAAUUUUGCAUACAAGCGUUUUGCAGAAUUACAAUAGAUGUUUCUCUGUGCUAGUAAUAACCUAACAUCAUUAGUAAGAUUAUUCCUAUCACAGUCUAUAUUUUUGACUUGCAAUUCUAAUUUUUCAACUCUGCUCUUCUUUAUUUCUAAAUCUCUUCGUGUCUCACUAAGUUGCACAUUUAAUUUCUUAGCUUCAUUACUAGCAGACACAAUAACAGAAUCAAAAUAAGCCACAGUAUCAUCAAAUGAAACAAUUUCAGCAUCAUAAGCAGAUAAAGGAAUAUUAAAAGAUUCAAGAAUUGCACGUACCUUGGUUGUCAUGGGUGAUUUGUCAGUGGAUUUUGACACAAAACAUCUCCCUGAAAUGUUCUCUUCGCAAUCCUCAAAACUUGCGAACAUUGCUCCAUGUGUGGGAUGCCUCAUUUCUUCAUCAUCAGAUCCUGAAGACCAGAUCUGAUAAGUUCCACUCUCUUCUUCAGCAGUUUCUCCCUUAGCAACCAAUGACACUCCUUUGGUCUUAGCACGUAACUCUUCAAUCUUCUCAGAGUAGUAUGCUUCAUCUUUGACUUUUUCUUUCUUCUCUUCUUUCUUUCGCAACAUGCAUUCAAUUGCGAAAUGAUUCGCACCAUUGCAAUAAUGACAAUAGAUUCCUAAAUCACCUUUCAACUUUUUCUCUUCAUUCGCAUUUUUCUGUUUUUCAUCAAUUUUCUCCAUUUUCUUCUUCUCAUCCCCUCCAGUCCUUGUUGUAACAUUCUUCGCAUCAUUAAUCUUUCCUUUUGGAUUAAAAGGCUUUUUGAAAAACUUUUUAACUCUGUUGUUUGAAUAGAAUGCUACAGCUUCAUCAUCAGAAUUCAUCAAAAAUCCUUCAUCAUCUGAUCCAUCUUUUUCAUCAUUUUCUGAUACCUUUGAAACUAGAGCCAAAGGACCACCAAUAGCUAGUUUUGAUUCUUCAUACAUUUCCGAGACCUCAGAUUCAUAUGUUUUCAGUUGAUUGUAGAUAUCAUUCAAUUUGGUGGUAUCAAAACUUUGUUGAUUCUUAAUCAUCAUGCUCACACUUCGCCAUUCCUUGCGAAGACCCAUAAUGAAAGUUAAAUUGAAUUCCAUGAUAGAUCUAGUGAUACCAUACCUAUUGCAGCGAAACAUAAGCUCAUUCAGACGAUCAUAGUAACUUUCGAGAGUUUAUGCAUCCUUUUGUCUAAAUUCCUUUAGUUCAAUCAGACAUUGCUUCACAUAAUUGAUCUUCGUCUUUUCGCUACCUUGAUACUUUUCUUUUAGAGUAUUCCAGAUGUCUUUGGCUGUUUUACAACUACGAAUGUAAUUGUAAACCACAGGAGGUAGAGCACCUCUUAGUUCCCUCAUGCACCUCUUUUCAUUAUCCUUCAGUCGUUUUCGUUGAUCUUCAACAUCAGGAGAUCCAGUGGAUGAACCAAUUUGUUGAACAUUUGCAGGAGCUUGAACUGUUCCAUCGAUACAAUUCCAAAGUUCUUCAUCAAUUCCAUUUAAGUAAUCUUCCAUUCUAUCAGCCCACUGAUCAUAGUAUUCUGGAAUCAACAUCGGAAUUUUGGUUGAAGAACCAAGCAAAUGAGAGAAAGAAGUCAUUGUAUUCAUGUUGAAGUUCGCCAUUGAUGAACUCAGAAAAAUAUCUGAAGACUUGAGAACUUGAUGAAUUUCAGAAUUCGAUCAAACGAAUUGAUCAAAAAUCACUAAUCGAUUACUCGACUUAACAAUUCAAAUACAGAAUCAAUUCAAAUCUGAAGAUCAAAAGUGAUUUUCAAAACCAAAAUUGCGCGGAAAAUUUUGAGUAAAUUUUGUAACUCAAAAAGCAAAUGAUUCUUAUACGAAAAUCAGAUCUAAGCAGUUUGAAUCCUGCUCUGAUACCAAUUGAUGAGAAUUGUUAUCGAGAAUUAAGAAAUGAAACAAUAGAUUUGAAUGAUGAAAGAUGCUGAACACACAGAGUAAAUAUUAAUCAGAUCUCGUUUUAUUAAGACUGAUUACAAAGUAAGUUGAAGAGAGAUAUUGUGUUUCGAUAUCUUGUGUCUACUUCAAGUCUAAGUCCCUAUUUAUAGGGAGCAUACAAACAAUAUACUAAGUCUAUACAUUGACACUUCGCAUACUACACUUCGCAUGUAAAAUUGACUUAGUAAAAUAACAUACAAAAUGCGAAUCAUUACAAUAGACACUAUUCGACUUUUACAACAUACAUCUACAUGAAUAAUGAGUAAUCAAUAUGGGACUCAAAAGUUUUGGGGCCAUAUAGGAGUAGUAUUAUUAUUGUGUUUCACUUUGCAUGUUUUGACUUCCCGAAUAACUAGGUUAUUCAAACCAUCCAUAGUCGAUCAUACUUUGGAAUUAGGUAUUAAGGCAAGACUGUCAUGAAUGGGUCUAUAGAGGUGUUUUAGUCAUAUCACAGGUUUGCUACAUUGUUCAUGAGUACUCCUGGAAUAUUGGAUUUAUCCCACGCUCAUUUGAAUCACUUCAUGGAUUUUAUCACGAGUGAUCAUGAGACGAUAAUAUCUUAUAUUCUUGAAACCAAUACGUAUGAGUUGUAGUUGCAAGUCAGUUGCACAUUGACAUAUGUAAACACACUAGUAACUUGAAUAUUAUAAAACAUGUUAUUGUGUGUAAUUUGAUGAGUAAGUAAAAGCAAGCAUUUGGGUCGAUGUUUAUCCGCUCCUUUUACCCUAUGUGGAUAAAAAAGGUAUGUGUGGGCCCUUCGAUGAUUUAGUGAUGGCACCCUAAGUUCUUGGCCAAGCCUGUACUGAUUUGAUUUGUUCAAUCAGUCGGUCAUCAUAAACUAGAAAUCGGGAAACAACAGAUCGACAGAGAGAAUGAUUAUAAUCCAUGUCUCAGUCCAUAUGAUAUCUAGAAUGGAGGAAUAUAUGAUCCAUUAUCUAAUAGACGUGUCAUUGACUAGGUAAGAGUUCAACAAAGGCUUUUAAGAGCUACGAUUGUUAGUCAGGUUGUGGAGUCAUAUUUGCAAUAAUAGUUAUUAGACUUAUCCAAGUGGGAGACUGUUGGAUUAGGUGUCUAAGCCCAUAGCUACAAUUUGUAUGUACUUGACCUGAUAGUAACAUGGUCCAUUUGGGAUGCAUAUCACCAUGACAGUUUGAUAGGAUCGACUUUUGAGAAGAGGGUAUUUAUGGUUUGUUAAUAUAUUAUAAGUUCUAAUAUAUUAAUAUGAAAUCAUAUGAUUUAAAUAGUAUUUAUCAAGAAUUAAUUUGGAAUUAAUUUUAUGAUCAAAGGAGACUAAUUAAAUAUAUGGGGGAUUGAUUUGGUAAAUCAUUCAUUCUUAUGGUGUGGGCCAGUGAUCCAUGAUUCUGUAGGUUGGGCUAAAUCCAUGUGACAACCCAUGGAUGAUCCAUGGAGGUUUAAGCCCAUGGAGCCUAAGGAUUAUGGAAGGUCAUGCAUAUUAGGGUUUACAUAGUGUAACCCUAAUCUAGCCACACUAUAUAAGAAGCCCCUUAGCAUCCAAAAUGACAAACUAGUGUUCUUGGAGAUCAUUGAGCCGAUUUUGGUGGUAGGAUAUUCUCUCAAAAGUCAUCCUUUGUCCUAGGUGUGUUGUGAACAAUUUGAGGUACAACACUUGGGGCACUAAGUUUUUAAAGGCCAAACUCAAGAAGUUCCACAAGCUACAAUAAAGAGGUAACUCCAUAACUCAAUCUUAUGUUGAUUAUGUCGUUCCCGUGCUAGUAGUAGGCUUAAUGCUUUGGAAACAAUUUUGCAUGUAUAAUUAGGGAAAACAUAGAUAUAAAGCAUUUAGGGUUGUAUAUGCACCAUACGAUGUUGUAGUAUACUCAAACCCUUUAAGUCUCGUGACGGAUCCUCCUCUAGUGGGUCCAAAGGUGGUUCUGCUGCUCCUUUUUCUAACGCAAAAAUAAGCAGAGUGCUUCUACGGUCAUGAAAAAGGGCAUUGGAGACGAAGCUUCCCUAAAUACUUGCAGUACAUCAAGGAUGGGAAGAUAAAGCCCACCCAUGCAUGUAUUUACACUAUUUUGUCUAAUAACUCAUCACAUGCUAAUUCUUUGGUCCUUUGAUACAUGAUGUGGUUUUCACAUAUGUUCUGGUUUGAAGGGACUAAAAAGAAGUAGGGAUGUGGAGCACGGGAAGAUGAACUUGAUCAUGGGGAAUAUCAAAGUAUCGCCUAUCACCAAGAUUGGAUUUUAUUCUUUAUUUCUUAGUAGUGGGUUAGAAUUAGAUUUGAAUAAUUGUUGCUACUCAUCCGAUAUGGCGAGAAACAUUAUUUCCUUUCAAGGUUUGUAUAAACAAAUUUUUAGAUUUUCAUUUAAUAAUGAAAUUAGUUCUAUUAAUGCUUUUAUUAAUGGUAAAUUUUAUUUUAAAGUAUUGCCUUGUAAUGGUGUAUAUGAAACUGUGAUGGUUGUUGACAACUUAGGAAAUAAUGUAUUGCAUAUUGAUUUGUCCAAAGGUUUUGACAAGUAAUGCUUGUGGCAUUUUUGUCAUGGACAUGUCAACAAGAAGCGCAUAGCCCAACUCCAAAAGGAUGGAGUGUUGGAUUCAUUUGACUUAAAGUCGGAUGACAUAUGCGAAUUUUGUCUGCUUGGAAAGAUGACCAAGUCACCCUUCACUAGUACUUGUAAAAGAGGUGAGGGUUUGUUGGAUCUCAUACACAUCAAUGUGUGUGGACCCUUCAGAUCCGCCACAAGGGAUGUUAACCGCUUCUAUCUGGCUUUUACUAAUGAUUACAACAGAUAUGGGUAUAUCUACUUAAUCAAGCAUAUGUUAGAAACCUUUGAAAAGUUCAAAGAGUUUAAACAAGAAGUGGGGAAUCAGCUAGGCAAGAAUAUAAAGAUGCUCCAAUCCGAUCGAGGUAAAGAGUAUCUUAGUAUCAAGUUCCACAACUAUCUUAAGGAAUGAGGAAUUGUUUCACAAUUGAUGCCACCUAGGACACCACAACUAAAUGGUGUGGCUGGGAGGCGCAAUAGGACCUUGUUGGACAUGGUUCGUUCCAUGAUGAGUCGAGCUUCGUUACCUAUCUCAUUCUGGGGGUAUGCUUUAGAUAUUGCCGCCCAUAUCCUUAAUCUAGUCCUAACUAAGAAGGUUGCCAAAACACCUCACUGAAUGUGGACAGGUAAGGUUCCCUCGUUAGCACACAUCAAGGUUUGGGGUUGUGAGGCUUUCGUAAGACGAGAGACUCACGACAAGCUCGAAUCUCACAGUGAGCGUUGUAUUUUCAUCGGCUACCCACAUAAAUCUUUUAGAAAUCUUCUAUAGAACGAGUGACAAUGUUGUCUUCGUUGCGAGGAGGGGGUUUUCCAUUAAAGGGAACUUAUAUGCCAAGAGGACAGUGGGAGGCAAAUUGACCUUGAAGAGAUUCAAGAGUUAAGUGAUGAAGGAACCUCAAACACUAGCAAUCAACCCGAGGAUGAAACUUCUCUUAAACCAGUUGACGAUUCCUUACCUCUGAGAUGUUCCAGUAGAGUUAGAAUGGCACCUGAGUUUAUGGUUUCCAUAUUACAAUAGAUGGUGAUACAUUUAUCAUUGAUAGUACACUGGUAAUUUGGAUGAACCUAACAACUACAAGGAAUCCAUGGUAGACCCCUAGUCUACAAAAUGGAAAGAGGCGAUGGACAGCGAUGUUUAGUCCAUGUAUGACAAUCAAGUUUGGAACUUGGUUGACAAUGUACCAGGUCCUAAGACGGUCGGGUGCUAAUGGAUCUUCAAGAAGAAGACUGACAUGGAUGGGAAAGUAUACACAUAUAAGGCGCAAUUUGUAACAACCCGAAAUUUCAUGUCACUUCUUGUACCACAACUUGUAAUCCAAUCCGAUCAACCGGACGUCAUUUUCAAUUUCGUUUUCAAUUUCGCCAUUUUAUUAAGUCAUUAGUUAUAUUGACCUAAAAUGACUUAAUGGGUGUCUUAUCACGUUUAGAAAUCAUUUUAACACCCCACUUUGGUGAUCGGAAUAAUUAUAGAAUCAGCCAUAUCGAGUCACGACAAUUUGGUCGAGUAUGACCAAAAGCCUCACUUAACGUCAGUAUCGGGUAAAAUUCCGUCGUGUCCAAUUCCCGAACACUAUAUAAAGUGUUUUAAAACUUCAUUUGAAGCCUUUGGUCAAAUUACUAUUUAACACUCACAACCUCUCUCCUCAACCCAAAAUCAAGGUCCAAAACAAAGAAUUAAGGCUUGAAAUCAAAGAGGUACCCCCCCUAACUUGUUAUUCAACCUCUUUAGCCUUCAAUUUUGUGUUUAAUUUGUAAUUUGGGACCAAGAACAUGAGUUUACAGCCAAGGAACUAACUUGGGCCGUAAACUCCUAUCAAUGGGGUUUUUAAGCCCUAAAACCCCCUCCUAAGCAAUGUUAGACAUUAGUAAUGGCUUAAUGACUUAAUGGAAGGGACUUACAACAAUUAAAACAUUGAUUUUAAGUGACAAAAGUGAGUUUACGGCCAAGACACAUUCUUGGGCCGUAAACUCAUAUUCAAAGGGUUUUUGAGCCAAUUAACCCUUCCAAAUCAUAGUUGGGACUUAGAUAUGACUUGUGGGACAUUGGUUUUAGCAUCUAAACACCUUAAACAUGAUUUUUGGGGGUCAAAAGAGAGUUUACGGCCAAGACAUAUUCUUGGGCCGUAAACUCCUCUUAAUUGGGGAUUUAGAGCCUUAAAACUUGUCCAAAUGCCUUGAAACUCAACCAAUGGCCUUGUGGUAAAAUCUAGAUGCAUCUAAAAAUAGUUUAAGGGUUUGAAACAUAUCAAAAGUAUCAUUUACAAGAGUUUACGGCCUAGGAGCAUACCCUUGGCCGUAAACUCAUAAAACCUUGUCAAAUGAUGCAUUAAACCACCCCAAAUGGCUUGUUCAAAUUUUUAGAAUCACAUGUGAUUGUUUUAAGCAUCAAAAACUAACUUUUCUUGGGGUAUCAUAGAGUUUACGGCCUUAGAACAUGCCUCUAGGCCGUAAACUCCAAAAUGUAUGCAAAAUGAUGUUUAAAUUCAUGACAAAGCUUGGAAAAUUAACUAGAAUCACAUGUGAUUGUCCUUUGAAGCUCAAAUCAAUUUUCCUUGGCCAUAGGUGAGUUUACGGCCGUAAACUCCUAUGGUAUGGCCGUAAACUCCCUUUUAAGUGUUAUAAUUUCAUUCAAUUAAUUCCAAGGCAUUUUAGAAAUCCAUUCCAACAAUCCCCAUGUCCAUUUAAGCCAUUUAAACACCCAAAACCACACCCACAUGAGUUUACGGCCAUAAACUCAUGUAUGUGUGUGUUUUGUGGUUGUAAACUCAUUUAAAUGUUUACUUAUGGAGAGUAAACUCAAGUCCCAAGUCCCUAGUGCCUUUACAAGUCCUUAAACGCCACCCGGGUCACUCCAAACGCUCAUUUUAAGGUGUUUAACCUCAUUGGAGUGUAAUGUUCCAUAUGAUUAGUGAAUAUAUCCCUAAUUGUAUAUAUAUGGACCUUAUUUCAUUUUACAUAGGGACAUCGCGAGUAAUCAAACCCCGAACCAACGUCUAGCAUUCAAAACCGACACGUUUCCGAGUCCGGUGAGUUCAUACCCCUACCCUUUUUCACUGUUUUCACUGUUUUAGGGGGGGAACACAAGCAAAGUACAAGGGAAUCCUUGUACUCAGAAUAUGUUUUUAAAUGUGUGUUUCAUAUUUCAUAUGCUUUCAUAACUGAUUACCACAACUGAUAACAGAUUGAACAUACAGAUCACGUAACCUGUAUUUGUGAAAUAGGCCUUUAAACUGUUAUGUUUAGCAUAUAUUUCACAAAUGGCUUUUCCACCUUUUAUCAGUUAAAAGCAUGACAUUAAACAUUUGAACAUAAUACCUGUACACUGUUUUGUCUUCGGUAACACUCCACACACAUACGCGAGUGGAGGACUACACCCAUAACCAGAAUCUCUGGUAUUUAGAGAGCGUGACUUGAGUGUAUAGAUCUAUACGGGGCUGACUACCCCACACCUGGCUGCUAGCUACAGCCGAACCGAAAUGGUUCAAGGGUGACGAAAGUCAUAAGUAUGUGGACGACUUAUUGCCACAUGUGGACUACUUAUUGCCACAGAUUUUAGUCUAUUGUAUGGUUAUGGAACUCGCAAUUAGGAUAACAGAGAUUUACAUAUAGUAAUAAUGAAUCACUUUAUACAUCUUUUACAUCCUUCACAUCUUUCGUAACACUGUAACUAACAUUCAGGAAAGUACGGGACUUUCCUGGGGAAAACAUGGAAACCAAUCACAAUUGCAUCUUUUACAUCUUUACAUCGUUUACAUUUGAAACCAACAUGCAGGAAAGCAUGGGGCUUUUCUGGGUAACACUUACCUAACUAGAAAGAAUAACGAACUGGAUAACAUUACAUCUUUUACAAUUUGUAAUACACAAUAAGGAAAGUAUGGGACUUUCCUGGUAACACAUGAUAAGCAAACAGAUCAGUUUAAUCAGUCAUAUAACCAACUAUACAUUUUUACAUGAAUAAACAUAUUUUCAAAGUAUAAACUUAUCAUACCUUUCAUUUGUGAAUCAAUAACUAACUAUUAAGAAAAUAUGGGAUUUUCUUGGUACAUUCGAUAUUACAGAAACAGAAAGGAAACUCGAAUCAUAUUCACAAACAAAACCGCUUAUGAACUCACCAGCUUUAUGCUGAUUUUCAAACCGCUUGUGUUCUCAGGUCAACGUUAGAACAGGUACCCGGAGAUUUCUCUUGAUCAGAAGAUGGAGUACAUGAAGAUCCGUUUCUUUUGUCUAUAUAUACUAUGUAUCACAACUGUACAAACUUUACUUUUGAAACAACUGUAAAACUUUAUUAUGUAAUGUAAUGGUUGUUCUACUUUACUUACUAUGUGCAUUGGAUUUGAUACUCAACGUGGAGUCAACCCCGGAAAUGUUUCCGCCUUCGGUUUUCGGGGUGUGACACAUUGGUAUCAGAGCCCUUGUUUAUAGUGAAUAAAGUAUACCAAACCUUACAUGGUAUAAAACUAUAAACAUAAAAGGGCCUAAGUGCUCUGAAUUAAAAGUAUCUUCAAACUACAAGUAUUUUCAAAAAGUAUACAAGUAUACCGAAUCGUCGCUAUCCGUAACUACAAGUAGAACCAAACAUAAGUAAUUGGGUGUUGUGUACUAUGGUUAAACCUGGGCAGUUAUGUAGUCGUGUCUAGGGUCAAUAUAGCCUGGCCAACUAUAUUCAUUCGAGACACGGCCAACAUGUGCUUGGGAGUGACUGUAAUAUGCGGCAUGCCUAAAACUUACCCAAUAUCCUAAACAACAAAUCGUCGCUACAGUAAACCAUGAAAUACUAUGGGAGUAUUUCUUGAGCCGUUUCUUUGUAGAAAUUCUUAUAUACGCGUAAAUUCUUGAUUAUUACUCUAGCGAUAAAAUAUUCUAUAUAUAUAACUCCUUUCUGCUUAUUCGCUUAGUAUGAUGCUAUAAUUGCCUUGAUGAGAUAUCUCCUGUCCCAUAUCUCUUGAUUCAAUUCAGAGGACUUAUGAUCCUCUCUUUCCUGAUCUUUUUAGAUCAAGAUGCCUCCAAGAAAAAGACCCAGCUCAAAGAACAACGAUAAUCCCUCUUCGCCGCCACCCCCUCCCCAGUUUGACCUAGCAUCACUCCAGACGAUGAUGACAGCUGCAAUGGUAGCAGCUAUGUCGCAAAUGAACUCUAAUGGUUCAGGAGGUGGUUCUCAAUCUCAAAACCCUGAAGGUAGUCAGGGGCACCAAAGAGGAAAUUCUUAUAAGGAUUUCAUGAACGCGAAACCAACAUCCUUUAAUGGCACUGGAGGUGUCAUAUCCUUAUCCCGAUGGUUCGAGAAAAUCGAAUCCAUCUUCGAAAUCUGUGCUUGUGCAGAGUCUGAUAAAGUUAAAUUUGCGGCUUGUACCUUCGAGGAUAAAGCCUUGACUUGGUGGAAUGGCCGAGUCAAAUCUCUGACCUUACCUGUAGCCAAUGCCAUGGGCUGGGAGGCCAUGAAAGAACUUCUCAUUGCUGAGUACUGCCCCCGUGGCGAAAUGCAAAAAUUAGAACACGAGCUUUGGAACUUAAAGAUGAAAGGUUCUGACGUUGCUGCGUAUACUUCCCGAUUUGAUGACCUCGCACUUCUCUGCCCGGGAUUAGUCACUCCUGAAAACAAAAAGAUCGAAAGGUUCAUUUGGGGGUUAUCUCAACCGACAAAGAGUCAUGUUUUGGCUGCUCGUCCGAAUACUUAUGAUAGUGCCAAGACUUUGGCUCAAAUUCUGAUUGAUCACAGCGACGACGUUAAGGAAAUCACUACCACUUCUGAACCGACUCAAAGGAGUGGUGAAAAGAGGAAAUUCUGGAAAAAGAAGAAGGGUCAAUCUUCUCAAGGAUCUUCCAAGAAACAUCAGACGGUAGCAGUCCAUGCUGCUACUGUUACUCCUGUCACUGCAGUUUCUGUUAUGGGAUCCACAGCUUCAACUCCUACCAGUAAAUAUGCUGGUAACCUUCCCCUGUGUGACAAGUGUAAAUACCAUCAUCAUCCUGGUCCUUGCCGAGAAUUGUCUUGCACCAGCUGUGGUAAGAAAGGGCACACGGUUCGAUUCUGCAGAACUCCUACCCAAUCAGCCAACCAAUCAUCGGGAGCAGGUGUUAGUCAAGCCUGCUACAACUGUGGAGAAGUUGGGCAUUUCAAAAGGAACUGUCCCAAGAAGUCAACUGCUGAUAACACUAGAAGGAUUCUAACCAUGGGACGAGAGGAAGCGGUUGCUGAUCCCACUGUUGUUUCGGGUACGUUCCUUCUCGACAACUCAUAUGCUAGUAUACUUUUCGAUUCGGGUGCUGAAAGGAGUUUUGUUAGUCAUGCAUUCAAACAUAAUCUAAAACCAAAUCCUCAACCAUUAACUGAAACGUUUACCGUCGAGAUGGCUAACGGUGAGAAAGAACGCGCUAACGAUAUAUUCAUAGGUUGUACGCUUACCUUAAACGAUCACUCAUUUCCUAUAGAUCUCAUGCCCGUCUCCAUUAAGAGCUUUGAUGUUAUCAUUGGCAUGGAUUGGUUGAGUCCCAAUCAUGCUGACAUUCUUUGUUACGAAAAAGCUAUCCGUCUCCAUUUUCCUUCGGAUCAAACUCUGGUAAUCUAUGGCGAUAAACCCAGUUCCAAUCUUCAUAUCAUCUCUUGCAUCAAAGCUCGAAAGCUCCUUCGAAAGGAGUGCAUUGCAUUCUUAGCUCAUGUGAUCAACAAGAAUCAAGAAGUUAAAGACCUCGCGAGCAUCCCCGAGGUCUGCAAUUUUCCCGAUGUGUUCCCUGAAGAGCUUCCAGGAAUUCCUCCCGAACGUCAGGUCGAGUUCCGUAUUGACCUAAUUCCUGGAGCUACUCCUGUAGCAAAAUCUCCGUAUCGACUAGCUCCGGCAGAAAUGCAGGAGUUAUCCAGUCAACUCAAUGAGUUGCUCAGUAAAGGAUUCAUUAGGCCGAGUUCCUCACCCUGGGGAGCUCCGGUUCUGUUUGUCAAGAAGAAAGAUGGAUCCUUUCGGAUGUGUAUCGACUAUCGUGAACUGAACAAAUUGACCGUUAAGAACCGAUAUCCUCUUCCACGUAUAGAUGACCUCUUCGAUCAACUUCAGGGAGCCAGCUACUUUUCUAAGAUAGACCUUCGGUCAGGGUACCAUCAGUUGCGAGUUCAUGAAAGUGAUGUGCCCAAAACAGCUUUUAGGACUCGGUAUGGACACUACGAGUUCGUAGUGAUGCCCUUCGGUCUAACCAAUGCACCGGCUGUGUUCAUGGACCUUAUGAACCGGGUGUGCCGUCCCUUCUUAGACAAAUUCGUCAUCGUGUUCAUUGACGACAUCCUCGUUUACUCCCGAAGCGAAGAAGACCACAAACAACACUUGAGGCUAGUGUUGGAGACCCUUAGAUCCGAAAAACUAUACGCGAAAUUUUCCAAAUGUGAAUUCUGGAUACGGAAGGUAACUUUCCUCGGUCACGUGGUAAGCGGGGAGGGUAUUCAUGUAGAUCCUUCCAAAAUUAAAGCAAUAGAGAAUUGGUCGGCACCGAAAACACCCACAGAAAUUCGUCAAUUCUUGGGUCUCGCCGGCUACUAUCGACGAUUCAUUCAAAAUUUUUCCAAAAUCGCCAAACCUUUAACCACUCUGACACAGAAAGGUGUACCCUUUUGUUGGAGUGAUAAACAAGAAACUGCGUUUCAAACGUUGAAGAAAGCCUUAUGUAGCGCGCCUGUUCUGUCUCUGCCUGAAGGGACAGAGGAUUUCGUCGUCUACUGCGAUGCGUCUAAUCAAGGUUUAGGUUGUGUGCUUAUGCAAAGAGGAAAGGUGAUUGCUUACGCCUCAAGACAGUUGAAAGCACACGAGGUCAACUAUACUACACACGACUUGGAACUAGGAGCUGUAGUCUUUGCAUUGAAGAUUUGGAGACAUUAUCUCUACGGAACCAAGUGCACAAUCUUCACUGAUCACAAGAGCCUACAACACAUCUUUAAUCAGAAAGACUUAAACAUGAGGCAACGGCGAUGGGUAGAAUUACUCAGUGAUUAUGAGUGUGAAAUCCGUUACCACCCCGGCAAGGCCAAUGUGGUAGCAGAUGCCCUUAGCCGAAAGGAUAGUGCAGGCCACAAAGUGAAGAACCAGACGAUGACCAUCCAUUCCAACUUACCCAUGCAAAUCCGAAAAGCCCAGUUAGAAGCCCUCAAACCCGAGAACGUGUCGACCGAAGCCUUAAGAGGAAUGGAAAAGAAACUUGAGAUCAGAGGUGACGGAGUCUAUUGCUUCAUGGAUCGAAUCUGGAUUCCAAAGUCCGGAGGAUUCAGGGAGAUUGUCAUGGAGGAAGCGCACAAGACCAGAUACUCUGUUCACCCGGGUUCGGACAAGAUGUACCUAGAUCUCAAGAAACAAUACUGGUGGCCAAACAUGAAAGCUGAGAUAGCUACAUUCGUGGGCAAGUGCUUGACUUGCGCCAAAGUCAAAAUCGAACAUCAGAAACCUUCAGGUCUGCUCCAACAACCCGAGAUCCCCGAGUGGAAAUGGGAGAUGAUUACCAUGGACUUCAUCACCAAACUACCCAAGUGUUCUAGUGGGUACGAUACCAUUUGGGUAAUUGUCGAUCAUUUGACAAAAUCCGCUCACGUCAUUCCAAUUAAAGAAUCAUACAAGAUGGAAAGACUUGCGCGAAUCUACAUCCAGGAGGUAGUACGUCUACACGGUGUACCUGCAUCCAUUAUCUCUGAUCGAGAUAGCAGGUUUACUUCCCGAUUUUGGCAGUCUCUCCAAAAAUCCCUUGGAACCAAACUAGAUAUGAGCACGACAUAUCAUCCUCAAACCGAUGGACAGAGUGAGAGAACAAUCCAAACCCUGGAGGACAUGCUUAGGGCAUGUGUCAUUGACUUUGGAAAGUCAUGGGAUACACAUCUAUCCUUGAUCGAAUUCUCGUACAACAACAGUUACCACACCAGCAUUAGGGCUUCUCCGUUCGAAGCCCUAUACGGUCGUAAAUGCAGAUCCCCUCUAUGCUAGGCCGAGGUGGGGGAUACACAGUUAGCCAGGAGUCGAGUCCCCGACAGUGCUCUCACUGGUCCUGAAAUCAUCCGCGAAACCACCGAAAAGAUCAUUCAAAUCCGUAACCGACUGAAAGCCUCAUGUGAUCGUCAAAAGAGUUACGCUGAUAAUCGUCGGAAACCACUAGAAUUCCAGGUUGGAGACCGUGUUUUGUUAAAAGUAUCGCCCUGGAAAGGCACUGUACGCUUUGGUAAGCGUGGGAAACUUAAGCCAAGGUACAUUGGACCCUUUGAGAUCCUCUCCAGGAUAGGUCCAGUUGCCUAUAAACUUCAUUUACCUCACGAACUUAGUAACAUCCAUCCCGUCUUUCAUGUUUCAAACCUCAAGAAGUGCCUAUCCGAUGAAACCCUAGUGAUUCCAUUAGACGAGAUUGAGGUCGAUGAAAACCUCAACUUUGUGGAGGAACCGAUUGAAAUCAUGGAUCGAGAAGUCAAACGUACAAAACAAAGUCGCAUCCCGUUAGUGAAAGUUCGCUGGAAUGCCAAGCGGGGACCGGAAUUCACUUGGGAACGGGAAGAUUCAAUGAAACAGAAGUAUCCACAACUCUUUUCUGAUCCAUGAUUUGUAUCUUGUCUUGUGUUUUAAACUUUGAAUUUCGGGACGAAAUUCCCUUUAACGGGGGGAUAAUGUAACAACCCGAAAUUUCCGUAUCAAUUAUUGUAACUCUUUUGUAGUCCAAUUCGCGCAACCAAUCGUCAUUCCAAAUUCGAUUUCCGAUCUUCCGUAUAAUUAAGUCAUUUAUUAGUACACAUUUAAAAUGACUUAAUGGGUGUCUUAAUACAUUUAGAAAUCAUUUUAACACCCAACUUUAGUGAUCGGAAUAUUUCUAGAAAUUACCGUAUCGGGUUACGGUAACUCAAUCGGGUACGACCAAAAGCCUCGUCUAACGCCGGUAUCGGGUAGAAUUCCUCCGUGUCCAAAACUUAAACACUAUAUAAACAUGUUUAAGACUCCAUUUGAAGCCUUUGGUCAAAUUACCAUUAAACACUCACAACCUCUCUCCUCAACCCAAAAUCAAGGUCCAAAACAAAGAAUUAAGGCUUGAAAUCAAAGAGGUAACACCCCUAACUUGUUAUUCAACCUCUUUAGCCUUCAAUUUUGUGUUUAAUUUGUGAUUUGGGACCAAGAACAUGAGUUUACGGCCAAGGAACUAGCUUGGGCCGUAAACUCCUAUCAAUGGGGUUUUUAAGCCCUAAAACCCCCUCCUAAGCAAUGUUAGACAUUAGUAAUGGCUUAAUGACUUAAUGGAAGGGACUUACAACAAUUAAAACAUUGAUUUUAAGUGACAAAAGUGAGUUUACGGCCAAGACACAUUCUUGGGCCGUAAACUCAUAUUCAAAGGGUUUUUGAGCCAAUUAACCCUUCCAAAUCAUAGUUGGGACUUAGAUAUGACUUGUGGGACAUUGGUUUUAGCAUCUAAACACCUUAAACAUGAUUUUUGGGGGACAAAAGAGAGUUUACGGCCAAGACAUAUUCUUGGGCCGUAAACUCCUCUUAAUUGGGGAUUUAGAGCCUUAAAACUUGUCCAAAUGCCUUGAAACUCAACCAAUGGCCUUGUGGUAAAAUCUAGAUGCAUCUAAAAAUAGUUUAAGGGUUUGAAACAUAUCAAAAGUAUCAUUUACAAGAGUUUACGGCCUAGGAGCAUACCCUUGGCCGUAAACUCAUAAAACCUUGUCAAAUGAUGCAUUAAACCACCCCAAAUGGCUUGUUCAAAUUUUUAGAAUCACAUGUGAUUGUUUUAAGCAUCAAAAACUAACUUUUCUUGGGGUAUCAUAGAGUUUACGGCCUUAGAACAUGCCUCUAGGCCGUAAACUCCAAAAUGUAUGCAAAAUGAUGUUUAAAUUCAUGACAAAGCUUGGAAAAUUAACUAGAAUCACAUGUGAUUGUCCUUUGAAGCUCAAAUCAAUUUUCCUUGGCCAUAGGUGAGUUUACGGCCGUAAACUCCUAUGGUAUGGCCGUAAACUCCCUUUUAAGUGUUAUAAUUUCAUUCAAUUAAUUCCAAGGCAUUUUAGAAAUCCAUUCCAACAAUCCCCAUGUCCAUUUAAGCCAUUUAAACACCCAAAACCACACCCACAUGAGUUUACGGCCGUAAAAUCAUGUAUGUGUAUGUUCAAUGGUUGUAAAAUCUUUAAAAUGUUUACUCUUGGGGAGUAAACUCAAGUCCCAAGUCCCUAGUGUCAUUACACGUCCGAAGAUGUCACCCGGGUCACUCCAAACGCUCGUUUUAAGGUGUUUAACCUCAUUGGAGUGUAAUGUUCCAUAUGAUUAGUGAAUGUAUCCCUAAUUGUAUAUAUAUGGACAUUAUUUCAUUUUACAUAGGGACAUCGCGAGUAAUCAAACCCUGAACCAACGUCUAGCAUUCAAAACCGACACGUUUCCGAGUCCGGUGAGUUCAUACCCCUACCCUUUUUCACUGUUUUCACUGUUUUCAGGGGGGAACACAAGCAAAGUACAAGGGAAUCCUUGUACUCAGAAUAUGUUUUUAAAUGUGUGUUUCAUAUUUCAUAUGCUUUCAUAACUGAUUACCACAACUGAUAACAGAUUGAACAUACAGAUCACGUAACUUGUAUUUGUGAAAUAGGCCUUUAAACUGUUAUAUUUUGCAUAUAUUUCACAAAUGGUUUUUCCCCCUUUUAUCAGUUAAAAGCAUGACAUUAAACAUUUGAACAUAAUACCUAUACACUGUUUUGUCUUCGGUAACACUCCACACACAUACGCGAGUGGAGGACCACACCCAUAACCAGAAUCUCUGGUAUUUAGAGAGCGUGACUUGAGUGUAUAGAUCUAUACGGGGCUGACUACCCCACACCUGGCUGCUAGCUACAGCCGAACCGAAAUGGUUCAAGGGUGACGAAAGUCAUAAGUAUGUGGACGACUUAUUGCCACAUGUGGACUACUUAUUGCCACAGGUUUUAGUCUAUUGUAUGGUUAUGGAACUCGCAAUUAGGAUAACAGAGAUUUACUUAUAGUAAUAAUGAAUCACUUUAUACAUCUUUCACAUCUUUCAGAUCUUUCACAUUCUGUAACUAACAUUUAGGAAAGUAUGGGACUUUCCUGGGGAAAACAUGGAAACCAAUCACAAUUACAUCUUUUACAUCUUUAACAUUUUUAACAUUCAAACAGGAAAGCAUGGGGCUUUUCUGGGUAACACUUACCUAACUAGAAAGAGUAACAAAUUGGAUAACAUUACAUCUUUUACAAUUUGUAACAUACAAUAAGGAAAGUAUGGGACUUUCCUGGAAACACAUGAUAAGUAAACAGAACAGUUUAACCAGUCAGAUAACCAACUAUACAUUUUCACAUGAAUAAACAUGUUUUCAGUGUACAAACUUACUAUACCUUACAUUUGUGAAACAAUAACCAACUAUUAAGAAAAUAUGGGAUUUUCUUGGUGCAUAUAACAUUUCAGAAACAGAAAGGAAACUCGAAACAUGUUCACAAACAAAAACCGCUUAUGAACUCACCAGCUUUAUGCUGAUUUUCAAACCGCUUGUGUUCUCAGGUCAGCGUUAGAACAGGUACCCGAAGAUUUCUUUUGAUCAGAAGACGGAGUACAUGAAGACCCGUUUCAUUUUGUCUAUAUAUAUACUAUGUAUCACAACUGUACAAACAUUACUUUUGAAACAACUGUAAAACUUUAUUAUGUAAUGUAAUGGUUGUUUUACUUUACUUACUAUGUGCAUUGGAUUUGAUACUCAACGUGGAGUCAACCCCGGAAAUGUUUCCGCCUUCGGUUUUCGGGGUGUGACACAAUUGGUUACAAAGGGCUUUACUCAAACUCAUAGAGUUGACUAUGACGAGACCUUCUCACCGGUAGCGAAGAUUAAAUCUAUAAGGGUUAUGCUAGCAAUAGCUGCAUUUCAUGAUUAUGAAAUAUAGCAAAUGGAUGUCAAAAUCGCUUUCCUAAAUGGAAAGUUGGUUGAAGAUGUUUACAUGAGUCAGCCAGAGGGUUUUGUCGAUGGGAAGUACCCUAAUAGAGUGUGUAAGCCUGAGAAAUCCAUUAUGGAUCGAAACAAGCAUCUCACAGAUGGAAUCUUUGUUUCGAUGAGAAAGUCAAAGACUUUGGAUUUUAGAGAAGUGAGAACGAGUCUCGUGUCUAUGUCAAGGCUAACGGGAGUGUAGCUAGCUUUUUGAUGUUGUAUGUAGAUGAUAUACUUCUCAUAGGAAAUGACAUUCCAACCUUUAAGGAGAUUAAGUCAUGGCUUGGAAUGUGUUUCGGUAUGAAGGACCUCGGAGAACUUGCUUACAUUCUAGGGAUAAGGAUAUUGAUAAAUAGGAGGAAAAGACAAAUGGGACAUAGUCAAAGUACCUACUUGGACAAAGUGUUGAAACAUUUCAGCAUGGAAAAUUUUAAGAAAGGAGAAUUACCUAUCCAGGGAAAUACCAAAAUGAGUAAGACUCAGAGGCUGAGUACUGAUGCUGAGACAUCAGAAAUGAGUCGAAUACCAUAUGCUUCUAUAGUUGGAUCGAUCAUGUAUGCUCUGACAUGUAAUCACCCUAAUGUAGCUUUUGCUUUUAGCAUGGUCAACAAUUAUUAGUCGAAUCCUAUUGAAACAUGAAGCGACCCUCUUAACUUAGCCUACCACAGCCCACACGGAUCCACAAUCAAGCUCUCAUCAGCAACCUCAUCCGAAGUCAUCUAUCUAACCACAAUCUUCUUACUUUAUUUAGUUUAUUUUUAUCUAUCUUAUAUGUAAUACUCUUUAUUGUCCAAUAUGCCUUGCAUGGCUACUCUUAGAGAGUGAAUCAAAUGUAACGCUUGAGUCUCUUUUAAUAGAGCUCAUUCUUCCUCAGUUAAUAAGAAUCUUUCACUUCUAUUUAUCUACACUAUCUUCAAGUAUAUCAUUUACAUUUCUCUUACGAAUCUCAUAUCUUUCUCACUCUCUAAAUCCUCUCGAACAUAACUGAUAAAUAUUUCUCUUCGGAGCAAGUCAUUUGUGACUUUAUCACUAAGCUUGAUCUCACUCACUAACUUGGUUUGAAUGCAUUCCAUGUUAUGAAUCAACAUAUGUGCUUACUUGAUAUAUCACCUGCUGUCAUUUAUGCUUCCUUACAUUUCCGCAACUAACUAUCUAACUAUCUAACUCAUUAACUUAUUAUUGUUGAGCUUUUAAAUCCUUUGAGAUUAACUAAUUUCGUAACUAUACUUGUUCUAACGUUUGUUCAAGUGUGUCUCAACUUAUUCUCUCAACAAUUGGUAUCAGAGCCAUAGUGGUUGCUUUUUGAAAAACAAAACUCUGAUUUUCAAAGCGCCUUCUAUAACACUAAAUCCCAUUCCUUAAAACAAAAGAAAACACAAAAAACAAGGAAGAAUGGCACAAGCACUUUCUCUGAAUGUUUCCAACUAUGUUGGUGGUUCAAAUAGAGUUCCAAUAUUGGUGGCAAAUGAAUACAAUCACUGGUCUCAAAGAAUGGAAAGAUACUUAAGGAGACUUGGUAGAGAUGUAUGGCGAUCUGUUGAAGAAGGACCACAUGUCCCUAUUCUUACACCAGUUCAAGCUGAUGGCACCACAACCAGACUAGGAGGAGGACAACCAGUCAUGAACCGUCCCACCAAAGAUGAUCUUGAUAAAAUGGAAAAUGAUGAUGUUGCUUUUUAUGAAAUCUCUUGUGGAGUUUCUCCUGACAACUUCGACAUUAUCAUAAAUUGUAAAUCAGUAAAAGAGAUCUAGGAUGUUCUCAAGAUCUUGUAUAAAGGUUCAGAACAAGCUCAAGAUAAGAAGCUAACAACUACACUCAAUGAAUUCGACAACUUCAAAGCUCAUAUUGGCAAAAGUUUAGAAGACUCUCUCAAAAGGUUCAAUUUGAUAGUCACUAAGUUAUCAAAUGCUGGCACCAUCCGCAGUAACCAUGAAACAAACCUUCAAUUUCUCAACGGUUUAGGAAGACAUUGGACUACUACUAAGAUGAUAGUUCAAGGAGAUAGAAAGAUUAAUUCCAUGUCUCUCUAAAAGCUCUAUGGGGAAUUGCAAGCACAAGAAUCCACUGUACUCAAAGACUGUGCUGACUUCCAAGAACCACUUGCUCUUGUAGCGCCAAUCUUACUCUCCCUCGUAUAACACUACACCGCAGUCAUACAAAGAUGACUCAGAGUAUGUUGAUGAAAAAGAAUUUCAGAAGGCUAUUGUUGUUGUUAGUAAACAGUUCAACCGGCUACCACCUCACUCUUUUCACAAAAAUCAACAAUUCAACAAACCUCCUUUCAACCGUAAAUUCAACCCACAAAACAAUCACUCUCAUUAUCCUAAAAGUUCUCACCCACAACUGCAAUCUCAAAACACUCAACCAAAGGAGGCACCGCAGUCCAUUUAAACCUCUGACUCCGGUACUCCUUCAGAAGACAAAAGUGAUGGUGUAAUAUGUCACAAGUGCAACAAAGAGAAUCAUUGUACAAAGGAUUGCAAAGCUAAUGUGGUGAAAGACAGAGCAUUCUACCUUAAAAUGGCUCAAGAAUUGGAGGAAAAGGAAAAGGCUAGGGCAUAUGUGGCUCAUGUCAAAAGAGACCAUCAAGUUUGGUCAUCCGGAGAUGAAGAAGAAAUCAUCAGCAAUAUCAAAGGAAAAGGCAAGAUUUGCAUGCUAGCAACUGCUGAUGAUGAUGGGUCUACAAAGGUGGAAAGGAACUACUGCUACAUGGCAAAGGAUGGAACUCUAAGCAUCGUCGAACAGGUAAAACUUAUGAUCCAAACUCUAAACUAUAACAUGCAUGACUGUCAACCUUUCAUAGACAAUCUUAAUGACACUUGUGCUGCUGUCCUUACAGACUACAACAAAGCCUUAAAUGAGAAGAACAUAGUGUCCGAAGACAUGUUUCAUGUGAAAGGACGACUGGAAAACAAAAGACUCAAAAUGGCCAUGUUAGAAAGAGAUUUAGAGUUAGAAAAAUAUGCAAGAAUGUUGAGUGAAACACAACUAAAGAUAGCUUUAAACCAAAGAUAUAUAGCCGAGAGUGAGAUUGUAGGCUUAAAUCUAUUAAUAGAAAAUUUGUUCAAUGAAAGUGAAGCUAUUGAAAAUUUCGUCAAUAAUGGAACUGUGGACGAUACAUAAAAUUGGAGUUGGUCAAAUGGAUAUCCUACCGCAGAGGAUUCCUCACCCCGAUUUAACAAAGAUUGACUUUAUGUCCCUCCGGACCGAGAAUUUCAUUUUCCAGUCAAUGACAAGACUUUUCCCGAAGACAUCGGAACACACAUCAGUAGGCUUCAUAAUCUAAGUGAUAAUUGUGUCAUUGAGGAAAUUGUGCCAGAGAUUUCUGAUCACACAUGUGAUCAAACUCUUAUCUGUGGCACAAUCAGCUCAAAUUCUCAGACCUCAUCUAUUGUUGAUGAAGAAAUUUUCAUAGAAAGUCCCGUAGUCUUACAGUACUUUCCACCUUUGUCCUCAAACCAAAGUGCCCCUCACUACAGUCAUGAUUCUCAGAAAAAUUCCAUUCCUGUCAGAACUCAAACUUACGCUACGGUAGCUAAGUUUUCCUUACCAAAGUCCACAAUAAAAAGCUUCGUAACUCUUCAGCCAAUUCAUCAUGAACUACCCAUAGAAAAUUUUGAAGUAGGUCAAUGCUCUCAAAAUCCUGAAUCUUCAUGUUCUGAUGAGUCAAGCCCUCAUUGUCAAAAUAUUUCAAAGAUUUCCUGGAAACCGCAGUUGAACACUAAUGAUCGCGGUUCUCCAAAAACUUCAGCAAAAAAGGCUUUUAAUGAGGAUAUUCGAUCUCAAGGCACAAAUCGACAAACCUUUUCUAAAAAUAAAAGACAUAUCUGAUUUCCAAAAUCUAAGAGUCCUGAAAAUUUGUUUUUGAUCAUUAUUUUUCAAAAAACUCUCCCACCAAGAAAACAUGCAAAAAAGGAAUGUGCAGUUUCAACAUCCAUUCUUAACUCAUAUGACAAAACCCAAAAGAAAGAAAGGUCAUUUCGAAGCAAUGGUUUUCAAAUCUAUUCCUCAGACAAUCCAAAAUAGAAGGGUAUCUUAACCACUCCAACACUUUUUAAAUCACAUCAAAAUUUCAACAAGUGGAAGGGCAUUUUACCAAAUCCCAAGAAAAGGUCCAAGGUAUCUACAUGUGCUAAAUCUUCCUCGAGACAAACUUUUUCUAAUUCCAACAGCACACAUGUCAGAUCUUACCAACCUCGGACCAGUGACAAAUCAAGCACAUCCUUCUGACCGUUGACCAAAUAAAGUGCCAAAACAAAAGAUAAAAUUUCAGCUUGUCAAUGUCAAUGUAGUUGUCAGAAAAGAUUAUCACAUGUCAAAACUAAUCCUUUUCAAUCCAAAUUAAUCUAAGAGUUGAUUCUAAAAUGUGUUUUGUAACUUGUCCUCAAGUUAUAUGAAAAGUCACAUUUAAGUUUCAUAAAACUAAUAAAAGUUGGCAAAUGUUACAAAAUGAAGAGUCUAGUUCUAAUUAAAUGGUUUUAUGACUCCAUAACUUGUCCUCAAGUUAUGGAGGACCAAAAGUCUCUUCAUUAAAAAAUAAAUAAAAAAAAGUGUAACCUUAAUUAAUUCCAUAAAUUAUAAAAUAAAGAAAAGUUAAUUCUUUUAUUAGUUUAAAGUCUUCCAUAGCUUGUCCUCAAAUUAUGGAACUUGAAGAUUUUUUGGAUUAAAACUACUUUAAACACAUAAAUUAUGGAAUUAAUUAGUUUUGAAUAGUUUCAAAACUUGCCCUCAAGUUUUUGGAAUUUGAAAAGUUUUCACUUAUGAAUACUUUAAUUCCAAGUUAGCCCUUAGAAUUUUAAAAGUUAAAAUUCAACCCUUAUACUUUAUAAUAUUAUAAGUUAAUAAUAUAUAUAUGUAUAAGAGUAAAGUCAGUCUUACCGCUAGUACGCCUCAUUCACGAAGCCGGUCUAUAAGGUGGGUAUAAGGUUGUUGCCUAUAAAAUGGCAACUUAAUGGGUGUCCACUCUCACCCACCGCUUGCUUGACUGGUGGAGGGUCGUUAGCCGAACGGGUUUGACAGGACUAGAAUUCUCCCUUCAUUAAAAGUAUUAAUGAUAAAUACUAAGUAACUAAACUCUUAAUAAUACCCAAUCUUAGUUACUUAGGAAAAUGUGAAUAAGGUGCUAAUCCAUGAAAUUACACUUUGCACUUUGUUUAAGUCGGUUAGUGGAGCGUGUGUGGUUAACCGGCACACUAACUCGUAUUUAACAAGGUAGGCAAAGGGUAACUUAAUGUUUAUCAUAGUAUCGAUGGAGCGUGUGUGGUUAACCGGCACAUCGAUUGAGGGGUAAACACUUAAGGGUACCAAGUAAUUUGCAUGGUUACUUCACACCUUGUUUUGUGAUCCUCGGCAUCCCAGUCACAAAACCUGAAGGGCACACUCGAGAUUGAAACAUGCCAUUGAACAGUUCAAUGAAUCUCAAAGAUCUAGGAGUUUCAAAACCAAUUAAAACCUAAUAAUACAUUUCGUUUAUCUUGGUGGAAAUUGGUGAAUCGUCAUUCACCUACCUUCAAAUAUUUUAUAGCUUGGAUUACGGCAUACCUCUUCUAAGUUAUAAAAUAGUUUGUUGGGUCCUAUCCUUAAUAUUUCAUAUUGGGUGUCAUAUUAAGGACUUUAGAUCAACUAUCUUGAAUAUCUCCCAAAACAUGUCUGGUUUAGACAAUUUAUGAUCAUCCCAAAUCUCUUUAAAAAGGUUUCCUAAUGAAGAUGAUGUCCCAUGGAUAUCAUACUUCUUUCUCCUCCUCCAAUUAUUCUCCCUAACCCACAAGUUCUUGAAAAGUUUAAGGUCACUCAAGCCCUAUUGGCAAGGCAAGGUCUAGGUGUGAGCACAUCUUGGAGAUGUAGUCACAUAUUGACAAGCCGGGAGAGUUGGGUGUCAAAGUCUUGAGAAAGUUGGUGGUUCAAUCACUUUCUAAGUCACAUAGUGAGUUCCUUUGGGACACCUAUGAAACAGACUAUGACAAGACCCUUAAUGAUCUUAUCUGUUUGCUAAGAUCAACUUCCUAAAACUUUAUGGACAUUGACAAUGAUGACAUUGGAUAUCUAGUAAAGUUCUCUCUUCCCAAUGGAAAGGGAUCGGCCAUAGUCAACUCGGUUGACCAAAUGGUAAAGAGAAAAGCUAAGUCUGUGAUAGUCCCGUGUACCAUUAUCAAAGGGUCCAUAUGUUUNUGGUAAAGAGAAAGGCUAAGUCUGUGAUAGUCCCAUGUUUCAUUACCAAAGCAUCCAGAUGUUGAAUUGCCAAAGAAAGGGACAUUGGUUGUGAAGCUGCAAAUUUGCCUAAGGAUGUUAAAGUCAAUAAGUUUGACUCUACAUCAUGUAAAAAUUUCCACUAUCUAACUCUGCUAAGUUUCUACUCUCAGAUUCUUGAUACAUGAUGUGACUGGAUCAUAUGGUGAUGUUUUAAGAAUAAAAGAAAAGUGAAGAAACAUAAAGAAAGAAUAUGUUGAAUCUGAUCGCGUAGAUGGAUUUCAAUCGCGUAGUUUGAAGAUCGGAUUCUUGAGCUACUUCUUAGGAGUUAUGAGAUAUUUCUUAGGAAUAGAUAACAACAAGUUUUCAUAUGGAUUGUAAGGAUAAGUUUUUCCACAAAGUUAUAAAAUAAAAGAAAAUUAUUGAUUUUAUUUAUUUUAAAAAAAAUAUCCUUAUAAUGGCAUUUGUGGAAAAAAAAUUUUGCUUAUAAAGAUUCCAUUAAGAGCAAGAAUGAAAAUAUGAAUUUGAUUCUUUUCAUUUGUGGUAAUGUCUAAAUUAACCAAAUAAGGAAAUAUCCUCAUUCCCAAAGUUUCAAUUGGACCGGAACUUGGAAUCAUGCAAGUUGUAUAGCAUGAUGAAUGAGAACUUUCAAGCAUUGGAAAAAAUUAAUACUAACUACUUGUUCACAUGGAUGUGUGUGUCAAGUGAAGGACUAAAGGGAUUGAGUACACAUUCUUGUGCACUGGUCAAGUCUACCACAAAAGAUAGAUAAGACUAUUCGUCAUAAUUUACUAAAGUUCAGUAAAUAUGGUUAUACUUACAAGUUUACGUAUAACUCUGAAACAUUGGAAAUUUUUCAAUGUAUGACAGAAUGAAUAAGAAGAAUCAAAUUAGGCAGAAGGAUAAGAGUUUCUCAAAUCUAAAAAGAUGGGAGAGUACUUUAGUAUUAGUAUUUAUGAUCAUCUUAAUGAUUUAGAGACCUUAUCACAACUCAUCCUCUAAGUGCAUUCUGAUAGCUAAGAAGAGGAGCUAUGAAUUGUUGAAGUGGUUAAAUCAAGAAGAUGAUUCAUACUUCGUUCCAAAAACAAGUCUUAGAGUCAUACUCCAAGAUUGUAACUUGAGUGACAUGUCUUAAAGAAGGUUUAAAACACUUGUCAAAUGUAAGAUUAAAAGUAUCCUGCUCUUAUAUAUUUGAAAUUGGUAAGUUGUGAUGUUUUGGAUAAAACAAAGACCAACUAAGGCCAAUUGUGUGAAGUGUUUGUGUUGAUUAGAAUCCACACUAUCUCUUGAAUAUCUGACAAGAAAGUCUUAUAUGUCAAGAGGACAAUGGGAGUCUUAAAGGUCUUGAAAGUCUCAAGAACUAAUCAAGAAUGAAACCUGAAGUUCUUCACUAGCACACGAAUUGAGUUUCAUAACCUAUCAUGUUGACAUAUUCUGUGCCCAUUCCGAUUAAAGUUGGCUUUGUAUAUGAGUUCUUAGAGUUCUCAAUUGGUUGCACAACAACAUGGAAGCAAUGGAAGGCCCUUGAGCUGCCAGGUGGCAAGAAAUUAAGAUUGAGUUCAGUCCAUAUGAGUUUGGAUUUGUCAUUAUCCUUGUCUUGUGACUAUGGUUUUGACAAUUCACAUGGAUAAGAGCACAUACACCAUUCAAUCUAAGAGUCAUAAGGUUUCUCUCCGAUUUAUGAAAAUGAUGGUGAGGAAACACUUCCACCAAGUAGAUUUGAAGUAGAUAGCGAUUGUGAUAUUUGCAUUCUUAAAGUCGUUAGUGGAGCGUGUGUGGUUUACCGGCACACUAACCUGGACUUGUGAGAAGUGGCAAAAAGGUCUAACCAUUAUGAUUACGGCAUCCCUCUUCAUAAUUGUUUAGACACACAAGUGUGCUAUCUAAGGGAAGGUGUAUGAUUUUGAUAAAGUCUUAUCAAAACAAUCUAGUAUCAGAAAUCUGAACUUUGGUAAGAAAGUCAGCUGAUUUCUGAGUACAUGUCAAAGCUAGUGGGAGCAUAAGUGUUAUGCUAAUAAUCAUCAUGUUAGUGGGAGCAUGAUAAUUAUGAUAAGUAUUGCAAGUUAGCAAUGUUAAUUAUAGAAAACAAAAGUUUCAAUUGGGAAAAAGUUGUUUUGCUAUAAUUAAGGGAGAGGAAAUUAUGCUUCAUCUCAAAUCUAUAAGCUUAGAUCGUGAGGUUUUAAUCAUUUAGUCAAGGAUAUAUAUGAAUUUCAUGUUGGAAUGGCUCAACAUAAGGAAAUUCUGUAUAUGGGUCCAUUAUUUGCGUUCUAAAAUUCGAUUAUGAUUACGGCAUCCCUUUUCAUAAUCUGAAUUAUGAGAACUUGGCAAAUUGAAAUGGAAAUAUUAUAGCAAAAGACUGGUUUAGUCUUUAUGUAAGACAUCAUGAAUCGUGUCCCAUAUGCUUCGGAUAUAGGAUCGAUUACAUGUGCUAUAUUCAUCCGUUCUAAAAUUUUCCAAAUGCCUGGGGCAUUAAGAAGGGAAAAGGUUUAGAACUGGAUAUGACUAAAAGGAUUAAACAAUUGUCGAGGACAAUCUAAGGUUUACCAAAGAUUGGUUGCUCAAGGACAGUUGGAAGUAUAGUGAUAAUUCUGGAAGGACCAUAUUGACAUAAUCUGUAAGGAGUCAACUCUUGUUCAGAAGUUAUAGUCAAAAGGGAAUCUGACAAUGUUUCAAAGUUAGAAAUUUUUCAGUCUGUGUAAGAUUAGGAAACUUAAUGCAAGAAGGAUGUUUCCAAGGAGUUGAUCUCCUUUAGAAUGCUCUGUAAUGGUUGUUGUCAAGUCUUUCUGACUUUGUGCAUAAUCAUUACAAGUGGAUCAAUGCAUAUAAGUUUAGAAUCUAACAGAUUUCUGUAAAUGACAUGAAUUUGGAAUUCUUGCAUUUGCAGUAAGGAUUUGGGAGUGUGAAAAGAGAAUCAUUGAAGUUAUGUUCAAUUGAUCUAGUUCACAAAGUAAAGAUCAUAGACAAACAUAGUAUGCAUACUUGGUGUGUGGCAUGACUAGUGUUUAGAAAAACAUAGUGUACAUGCUUGGAGCAUGGGACAACUAUUGUUUUAAAUUCAAGAAUAAAGUUGAUAGCUGAAACAGUAUACAAUGAAUAAUGUGUAAUCAUAUGGUGAUAAAUAAAAGGUGUUUUAUUUAUGUUCAAAGGUUUGAUACCAUAUUGGAUUCAAUUAUUAUUGUGUUUCACUUUGCAUGUUUUGACUUCCCGAAUAAACUGGGUUAUUCUUCCGGAAUGACUAAGUUAUUCAAACCAUCCACAGUCGGUCAUAUGUUGGAAGUAGAUAUGAAUUAAGACUGUCAUGGGUUGGCUUGUAGAGGUCUAAGGUGUUGGACAAAGGGCUACAACACUCAUGAGUGCUCAUAAGUUCUGAGUAUUGGAUUCAACCCGCGCUCAUUGGAAUCACUUCAUGGAUUUUAUCACGAGUGAUCAUGAGACGAUAAUAUCUUAUAUUCUUCAAACCUAGAGAUAUGAGUUGUUACUAUGAGUUGGUAGUACAUUGAUUGCACGAAAAUGCAUACGGUAACUCGGUGCUAUAAAACGUGCCUUUGUGUAUGAUUCAACAAGUAGUAGAACAAGCCAUAUGAGUCGAAGUUUAUCCAUUCCUUUUACCUUCAGGAUAAAAGCGAUAUCUGUGGGCCCCAUGAUGAUUUGAUGAGGACAAAUGGAAGUGCUCGGCCGGGCCAGGACUGAUUUGAUUUGUUCAAUCAGUCAGUCAUCAUGAAUCGGAAAUCGAGAAACAACAAAUGGACACAGAGAAUAAUUAUAAUCCAUGUCUUAGUCCAUAUGAUAUCUAGAAUAGAGGAAUAUAUGAUCCCUUAUCUAAUGGACAAGUCAUUGACAAAGGUCAGAGUUCAACAGAAGCUUUUGAGAGCUAUGAUUGCCAGUUGGUUCUUGAAGUUAUACGCAAUAAUAGUUUUAGACUUAUCCAAGUGGAAGACUGUUGGAUUAAUGUCUAAGUCCAUGACUAUAAUUGGUAAGACUUGACCCGACCCGUCAUGGUCCAUUUGGGUUGCAUGGCAUCAUGCACUUGGAUAGACUAAAUGAGAGAAAUAAGACACUUAUGGUUAUUAAUAUAUUAUAAGUUCUAGUAUAUUAAUAAUAAGAAUAAUAAUAUUUAAUUAGUAUUGAUCAAGAAUUAAUCUAGGAUUAAUUAAGUGAUCAAAAGAAGACUAAUUAAAUAUAUGGGUUGAUUGUGCAAAUCAUCCGUAACUUAUAUAGUGGGCCAAAGCUUCAUCGAUAAUCAAGUUGGGUUAAACACAUAGGAUGCUCCAUGGAUGACCCAUGGAGGUUACAUAACCCAUGGGUCAUGGAAAUGAAAGGUCAUGACAAUUAAGGUUCACAUGGUGUAACCCUAAUUGUAACACACUAUAUAAGCAUCAUAUUAUUCACCAAAAUCGACACUAGUAUUAUUCUAGGUAAAGGACUAGCCGAUUUUCAUGAAGUGUGGAAUUCUCUCAAGUCUUUCCAAGUGCAUAUGAUGUUGUGUGAACCAUUUGAGGUGUCACACUUGGGUCACUAGGCACUAAAGGUUCAUGAAGACUUUCUACAUCAAAGAAGUAUGUAUUCUAUCUUGUUAUAUUCAUUGUUUUGUAUGCUUGAUUAGGAUAAUACCUUGGAAGUUCAUAUUUCCAUGUAUAAUAGAGAAAACAUAGAUUCAAGGUAUUUAGGGUUGCAUGUACACUUACGAGUGUUAGAAUGCUCAAAACCUAACAAUGAUGAAACCGAGUUUACUAACCAUCUUCUAAAUAGUUUCUUGGUUUCUAAAGGGAUUACUCACAACUUCUCAGCUCCUUACACACCACAAAAAAAUGGGGUAGGAGAAUGAAUGAACCACACUCUAGUAGAAGCUGCCAGAUCUAUGCUCAAUUUUGCACACCUUCCUCUCUACUUCUAGGCCGAAGGAGUGGCCACAACCUGUUUUGUAGAAAAUCGAAGCAUUGUGUUAAAACGUCUCAACAAAACACUGUAUGAGGGCCUUGACAACCGCAAGCCAAAUGUCUGAUUCUUUCUUAUAUGUAGAUGCUUUAUGCUCAACAACAGAGAUCACCUCAACAAAUUCACACCAAUGUCUGAUGAAGGCAUCUUCCUUGGCUAUUCCACCAACAAGGUUGCGUAUCGAGUUCUCAUUAGACCAACAAGGUUGAUAAUUGAAAGCUUCGAUGUGAAAAUUGAUGACUCUCACAUUCGCAACACCGCUCCAUCAACCGAUACCACAACAAAUCUAGAAAGUGAUAUUCCUGCCUCUUCGGGUUCAUUAAAUCUAGUUGAAUUAAACUAUGAUGAUCUCUUUAAUCCGGUAGAUAUAACCAAGUUAUCUGAAGUUCUUGUGUCUCUAGAUGCUCAGCAGCAACAUGCUAAUGUAUCUGGUCCAACAUUCUCCGAAGAAGUAUCACUAAAUACUUCCACCUCGCCGGUUGAGGGGGAAAAUUUAACUCUGGACCAUACAACAACCAUCGAGGUUCCAGUACUAAAAGAUGAAGCUACAAUCCGCAGAAAGUUUCAACCAUCAAACGUUUCUUCGGAUUCGGAUGAUGAAAACAUAGAAAACAUUGACAUAAGAACAUAUUCAAUGGUUAUUAUUCUCCCUUCUACACUCCAGGGGGUACCUUCGCUAUCUGCCUAAGAAAACUCUGAUCCAUCCUUCUCAGUUCAAGAAAAUUCAGCAGGAUGUUCUCAAGUGUAGGGGGAACUGCCGUCUCCAAACGCAUAGUCUUCUGAUUUUGAAGACAUUCCCUCCACCGCAGCUGCUGAUCAUCUGGAACCCCGUUUACACGUAUGGACGAGAGACCACCCACCAGGUCAAAUUAUUGGCAACCCAUCCGCAAGAAUCUAGACUCGAUCAUCCAAGGACUUAUCCGAUCACUGUCACUACACAACGUUUAUGUCCUUGGUCGAAACCCGACGAUCAAAGAAGCAUUACUUGAACCAGACUGGAUAUCCGCAAUGCAAGAGGAGCUAAAAGAAUUCAAAAGAAACAAAGUAUGGCAGCUCGUUCCAAAACCGCUAGGUCAUACCAUUGUGGGCACUAGAUGGGUGUACAAGAAUAAGUUGGAUGAAUCUGGUACAGUCAUCAGAAACAAGGAAAUACUAGUUGCAAAAGGAUAUAGUCAACUUGAAGGCAUUUACUAUGAUGAAACGUAUCCUCUGGUAGCACAAAUGGAAGCCAUCCAGAUUUUCUUAGCAUACACAGCACACAAAAACAUCAAGGUUCAUCAAAUGGAUGUGAAAAGUGCUUUUCUUAACGGCGAAUUAAAAGAAGAGGUUUAUCUUCAGCAACCUCCAGGGUUCGAAAGUAUUGGAUUCCCAAACCACUGCUACAAGCUUGAAAACAACGAGUGAUUGAUCCGGUUAAAAACAACGAGUGAUUGAUACGGUCUAAAACAAGCCCCAAGAGCAUGGUACGAGACUCUCUCUGAAUUUCUUGUCUUGUCCGGUUAAAAACAACGAGUGAUUGAUCCCACUCUAUUUAGAAAAGCAAAUGGUGAUCAUCUAAUGCCUGUACAAAGUUAUGUGGAUGAUAUCAUUUUCGGCUCAACUGACCAAAAGAUGGUGGAUGAGUUUGCUACGCUCAUGACCAACAAGUUCCAAAUGAGUAUGAAUAGAGAGAUUCAUUUCUUUCUAGGACAUCAAACGAAACAAGUCCCUCAAGAGAUAUUCAUUCAUCAAGAAAAAUACACCUCAGAACUGUUAAAGAAAUAUUAAAUUGACAACUGUUCUUCGGCUAAGGUCCCCAUGGCCUUCGGAUAUAAGAUAUCUGCUGAUCCCUCAGGCGAAUCUGUUGAUCACAAGACUUAUAGAGGUACUAUUGGCUCUUUGAUGUACCUCACCGCAAGCCGACCAGAUAUAGUCUUUGCAAUGGGUGUAUGCGCAAGGUACCAGGAUGAUCCAAAAAUGUCACACAUGACAGCAGCCAAGCAAAUUCUAUGGUACUUAAAGGGUAGCAAAACUCCUGGAUUAUGGUACCCCACAGGAAACGAUUUCAGUCUUCAAGCAUUCACAAAUGCGGAUCAUGUCGGAUGUAAACUUGAUCGCAAAAGCACCUUAGGUGGAUGUCAAUUUUUGGGUGGAAGACUCGUCAGCUGGUCAUCAAGGAAACAAAAUUGUGUAUCAUUGUCUACCGCAGAACUUGAAUAUGUGGCCCCAGCCAGCUGUUGUUCUCAAGUCUUAUGGAUGAAAACACAACUACUGGACUGCGGGCACAUAAUGCUGUGGAUACCAAUCUAUCGUGACUCUGAAAAUGUUAUAGCGAUUUCUCAUAAUCCUAUCCAGCACUACAAGACCAAGCAUAUUAAAAUAUGGUAUCACUUCAUCAAAGACCACAUCCUGAAAGGUAACAUUGAACUAGUUUUUCUCCAUGCUCAUGUAGAGAUUGCUGAUGUAUUCACUAAGGCACUUGACUCGACGAAACUCAACAUUUUCUUACAAAUGUCAGGAAUGAUGAAUCCAGACCCACAAUUCUUUUUGAAUUGAUAAGGGACCGCAGACCAUCCUUGGUCUUUGUUGCGGUCCUAGUUGAAGUUAUCUAUGAUAGAUGGUUUUGAUAUAUCCUAUGUACCGCAACCAUAUAUCAUAUUUAUACUUCAAUGGUCCUUAUUGUUUGUUAUUACUAAUUUUUGUUCAAGUGCUCCUUUUAGUUCUUCUACCGUAGUCAUCCAUCUGUCAGCAGAAGAUGCAUCUGCAAUGAAGUUUCAAUCCACAGUCACUUUCUCAAUCUGCAGUCAUCUUAAUUGAUUUUCAAACUGUUACAUUUUUUUAAAGAAAAAAACAGGGUGUGCUAUUUAAUGAUCAUUCAUUAAAUAGAGAAAACAUUAAAAAAAACAUUCUUUGUGUAACUGUCUUAUUCCUUUUGAUUAAACCUCGUGUCAGACCUAUUUUAGUUAUGAUGACAAAAAGAGAGAUUUCCCAAAAUCAAAUCUUUUUAAUCUAUCUCUUCCUAUUACCCUAAAACAUCUAAUUCGUUACAAUUUCUCUUUACCCAACGGGUUAAUCUCUCCCUCACCACACGUUCUCCAGAUGUGGGUUUUAAGCCUGACAUUUUAUUAAAUGCAAACCCUUUUUGGUAAAUCUCAAAAAUACAGAUUUAAUCAUUUUUUCUUAAUCUAUGGCUGAGAUUAACUCUCUUAAUUCAAGAAAAACACCCAAAUGUUUUACCCAAAUUCACUUAGGGUAAAAUCAUUUCCCGCUCCAUUAAGCCACUAUAAAAUCCUCUUCUUCUUCCCCAAGAAAAGUUUACACUCUCUAAACUUCAACCUUUCUCUUGCACUCUGUUUCUUCUAUUGCAUAACUCCUUCAACCUCCUACAAUGGUGAAAUCAGGCGUAUCCAAGAAACACUAAAAGGCAUAUGGAUCAGUAAACCCUGCCGGUUCAGACUCUGCUUCAACACAACCAGCGCCUACAAUUGCCUUUAGCAACUUCAGAGCUGUGUUCGAAGAGCAUUCCUUCUAUAAUGCUCCAAAAAAAUUGAUGAUGAUCAAGUUUUGUCCAAUCACCCACUGUUUGGACCCUUCGAUUCGUUCACAGACGUUGUUCCGCUUUCAUCCCUAUUCAAGUGUGCCUUCUCAGCGUAUUGACCACUCGAGAGUCCUUAUGAAGUGCAUCUUAACCUAGUUAAUGAUUCUUUGGUCAUUCUAACUAAAGAGAAGUUUCUCACUGCCAUUAACCUCCUUGUUCAUCCUUUAAUCAAGGUUUUCACUCCAAGCAUGGCUGACAUUCUUUCUGCACUUUACUAGAUGGGAUAUCAAAAGAAAAUCAAAGGCAUUAGAGAAUUCAAGAAAAACCAACUGCUUGCGGUUUCGCAAUUUGUUUGCCAUUUUGUAAUCCGCGGUCUGUUCAGCAGAACCGGAGGCACGGAUAACAUGGGACUCAAGCUCCUAGAGUUAGUGUUGAGUAUCUUCACUGACCAUGAUGUCAACUACUUUCAGACAAUAUGGGACGACUUCUUACAAUAUAUUCCCAAGGAAAGCCCAAGAGAGAACCCUACCGAACUCACGUUUGCAAGGUUCUGGUCACUAUGCAUCUCAGAUUUCCAUACGGAUGCAGGACUCAUCAUGGGCAACGACAUCAACUUUUUUAUCACCAAGGAUCUUAAAACGUACAAUACCUUAUCUGAUCAAUCUAUUUUUAGACCCAUUAGAAGACUACGAGUCCACAUUCUCUCUAAUCUUUGUCUUGAGACUGCUGAUGUCUCUGACCAUAUUGAGGCUAAAGAAGGUAUUGCCCAAUACCUUCCUACCCCGCCUCUACAAACCCCAUCCGCAAUCACUGCCCCUGGUAGUACCGCAAUCCCAUCUUCCACAACUCUUUCGAACCUUUCUAUAUCCCAAUGAUGCAAAAGUUAGCCUCAGCUCGUCAAGGCCCACGCAACACCAAGAAACAAGGAACUCCCAAAAAGGAUGCUUCCAAACAAUCUAAUCCUUCAAAAAAAGGAAAAUCACCCCACCUGUGAUAACACAAGUCGAUCCAAGAAAACAUCAAUCUCCCUCUCCCUCUAGUAGUGAUUCUGAUGAGGACAAUCAACCCAUGGCAAUCUUCAAGAAAAGAAAAGUCAAUUCCACUGGCCAAAUGUGUGACCGGACUGACACCUCAGCCUCUGAAAAGGCUCCGGUAGUCCUUGGGGUGGCCGCACACUCAUCCGAAUCAACCAUACAAUACCACUCAGUCGUAGGUGGUGCGUCUGCUUCACCGAAACGUGGAGAUUCACCCCCAGGUCAAUCCCAAGAGGAUAGAACUGGCUCCUGCCCUGAGAUCUCCAAUGCUUCCCGUCUUCAUUUCUUUUCCCCAGAGGAGUUGAACUCCAUACUUUUGUCUGUUACCCAAACAUUUCAAACACCUCCCCAAUUGCAAGGCGACUCUUCAGGCUUCGCCAUAACUGAGCCGAGGCCAAACUUGACUUUAGGUCAAGGAGACCAAGGAAGCUCUGGAAAUCCUACUCUGCUUACAUCUGUAACAGGUGCUUUAGGCAGGGUGAGCACUAAUGUGCACGGAUCCAUGAACCCGAGGGACACCUCGGUGCGAUACCAAGGAAUUGACGAAAUACACCUAAAUGAUUCAUGGAGCACGUAUCAACCAUCAAAUGAAGUCGAAGCCAAGAAAUAUGCCGCUUUCCGUAGGGCAUUCCUUGCAAGAAAGGCACGACAAACAAACUAGGUAUAAACUACAAGAAAUCCAAUGCGUAGCGAUGUAUUGGGCAGACGCAAUAAACAAUGCUAAUACCGUAUCUACUAUUUGCAAAGUUCAAGCUUUGAUGGACAACAUGGUUGAUACUAUCCGCAAAGCUCAAGAAGCGACUGCUGAUCAAACUCCUUCUAAGCCCCUCCAUCUCCAACUGCCAAAGACUCUCAAGAUAUAGGCACCGAAAUAGAAGUCGGCUCUGCUCCUACCUUCGGUUUUGAUGACGUUGACCUAAAUGAGGUUAAUCAACCCAGUCCUUCGGAUGAUGACCUCGUGAUGUUUGAUAAAGAAGACGAAUCAAGUGGUUCUCAACACUCAACAUCUAAGCCUAAGGAGAAAAAGUAAAAGAAGAAGAUGGCCGUUUCAAGAAAAGAAUUCCUAAGUCUACAAUCCAAAGUAGAUCAAAUUCUUGCCGCAGUCAAUACAUCUCAACCGCUAUCAGAAGAGCAUCCGGUACCAAAGUCCUUGAUCGAAAGGAUUGAAUGACUGGAGACAAGGGAACGUCUAGCUGCUGAGAGAAUUUCUCUCAAGGUAGAAAUGCGAAUUCGGUCCCUUGACAACAAUCGCCAAGCAGAUCACAAGGAAUUCAUGGCUACUACGGAGUGCCUCAUCUCUGAGGUAUCCACGAUCAAAGACAAUCUGUAAACUGCCAUUGUAGACUAAUCCUUUCUUUCCCAAAAGCUGAUAGCUGAGACUCACACUGUUUAUGAGUCCACUAUUUCAGUCCUUCAUGCAACCAUCAACAGACUCCAACGAUCACUAUCUUCAUAGUUCCAUGGCCCUGACAUUCUCCAACUGACAAAGGAGAUUCAUUGACUACUCUUAAACACCACCAUCCCUAACAAUCAGCAACUGGAUGAUGUUCUCAAAGCCUAUUUUUAGGAGGUGUGUGCCAAGGUAGAUGGUCUCAAACAAUGGCUUGAGGAGGCUCCAGGUUUGAACUCCUCAAGAGAGGGAAGUGGAGAAGACCAUCAUUAAGAAGAACACUAUGAAGAAAAUCAUCAACCCAACAGUGCUUUUCAGAAAAUUCCCUUCACCACAACCAUCUCCUCACAAGAAUCCAAGCAAUUAGUCUCCUCCACCGCAACAAAAAUUCGUUCCCUCUCCCGGACUUGAAACUCCACCUCACUUCAAGAAUAUAGCAGAUCACAUGUGUCUCCAAGAUCAAAUGGCUCUCCUAUCACCAAAGAGAAGAAAGCUAACUGGAAAGCAGCUAAACUUGUUGAGGUCAUAUGGAGAAAAUGCAGUUUCGACAUUGUCAUGGAUGCAUCCUUGAUAAACUCUUGGAUCAACCCCCAUUGCAGACUGCUAGACGACGACAACAAAACAUAUCUCACCUAUGUUGAACCUCCCUUUGAUGGCUAUUGGGAUGUUCCAAUCUCCCCAAAUGCUAAAUACUUCAUAGUAUCUGAGCAGUUUGACCGUAGCCUUCCGGAUCACAAAAGACUGCCAAUGGAAUUCGAGAGACUUAAUCGAUUCUACGCCAAACAUGCCUCUCCCAUUGAGAAAAUAUGGUCUAACGAUAGACCAUCAGCAGUAAAGAACUUCAAACCCCAGAAAUUCAUGAAGGCUGACUUCAUACAAUACACACUUACAAAAAGGAAUCAAGAAUAUGUCCGCACCCAAGCUGACUUCCCCUGUAGGAACCCAAAAGAAGUUUUUCUUAUAGCAAAGGUGUUCAAAAGCAAGUUUGAAAAGUAUCCGAAAAUGAAGAUAGCACUUGAAAGGGAAAGCAUUAAUCUGAAGGAAACUCUCUGCGACUUCACAAAGAUCGAUAUGGAUAUCCACCCAACCAUUGCCAAGAAAUUCGGUCUACCACCACUAGAUCAUGCAACGAUGCCAACCGAAGGCUAUCAAGAAAGAUCCCUAGGUGCAACAAGCUUCCCUAAACUUGGAGUCAUCUUCAAAAGAAAGACCGAUCAAGUCAAAUACUUCAUUCCCAUGACCUCCAUGAACCGUCUCACAAAGAAGCAACUUGAAAUCUGUCGAACCGCAGUAGAAAAAUCGAAACAUACGACCGCCGAAGUCAUGUUCGAGAUUUUAAGGAGGAUCACUUGGUUGGAAAAGAUCAGGAAGUUUUGGUGGAUUCUGAUCAAGUUUCUUAAACUUGAUAGGUGAAGAAAAAGUUAGAGGUCAGUUAGGGGGAAAUUUUUGAAACAUGAAGUGACCCUCUUAACUUAGCCUACCGCAGCCCACAAGGAUCCGCAGUCAAGCUCCCAUCAGCAGCCUCAUCUGCAGUCAUCUAUCCAACCGCAGUCUUCUUACUUUACUUAGUUUAUUUUUAUCUAUCUUAUCUGUAAUACUCUCUAUUGUCUAGUAUGCCUUGCAUGGCUACUCUUAGAGAGUCAAUCAGAUGUAACUCUUGAGUCUCUAUAAAUAGAACUCAUUCUUCAUCAGUUAAUAAGAAUCUUUCACUUCUAUCUAUCUAAACUGUCUUCAAGUAUAUCAUUCACAUUUCUCUUACGCAUCUUAUAUCUAUCUUACUCUCUAAAUCCUCUCGAGCAUAACUGAUAAAUAUUUCUCUUUAGAGCAAGUCAUUUGUGACUUUAUCACUAAGCUUGAUCUCACUCACUAACUUGGUUUGAAUGCAUUCCCUGUUAUGAAUCAACUUAUGUGUUUACUUGAUAUAUCACCUGCUGUCAUUUAUGCUUCCUUACAUUUCCGCAACUAACUAUCUAACUAUUUAACUCGUUAACUUAUUAUUGUUAAGCUUUUAGAUCCUUUGAGAUUAACUAAUUCUGCAACUAUACUUGUUCUAACUUUUGUUCAAAUGUGUCUCAAGUUAUUCUCUCAACAAAUCCUAGAAGAGCUCACUGGACUGUGGUAAAGAACACUCUUAAGUACCUGCGGAUGACUAAGGAUUGGGUCCUUACCCUCGGUGAGAGUGAUAAAUUGAGAGUGACAGUGUAUACUGACGCCAACUUUCAGACCGACAAAGAUAAUUUCCGCUCUCAUUCGGGCUAGGUAUUUACCCUAAAUGGAGGAGCAGUAACAUGGAAAAGUUCCAAACAGGAGACUGUAGUUGAUUAAAUGUGUGAAUCGGAGUUCAUAGCAGCAAAAAUAGCGUCGAAGGAGGCGAUAUGGCUAAAGAACUUCAUCGGAGACCUUAUAGUUGUACCAGCUACAAAGGAGCCUAUGCAGAUUUUCUGCGAUAGCAAGAGUAUGGUCGCCUUAACCAAGGAACCAAGGGAUCAUGGCAGAUCUAGGCACAUCGACAGAAAAUAACACUUCCUAAGACAUUGGACAAAAGAAGGACUCCUCUUAGUAAAGAGGGUAUCAUCAGAGGAGAACCCAACAAAUCCCCUUACGAAGGGACUAAGUUGGGUUAAGCACUUGCGGCAUGCUAAAAGUAUUGGGCUAAAGGAUGAUAUUAGUUUUAAUGAUUAGAUAGCUAUUUAGAAACUUGUAAUAGAUAAAAUGUAAUUGACAUUUGAUGAUUAAAUAAAAGGAGUUUUAUUUAUGAUUAAAGUUACUAUCUUGUGUCAAUUGUUUACUAUUCUUUCAUUUUACAUGUUUUGACUUCAAGAAUAAUAAGAUUAUUCAACCAUCCACAGUCAAUUAUACUUUGGAAGUAGGUAUUGAGACAAGAUUGUCAUGAAUUGGCUUGUAGAUUGUCUAGAGUGUUUAGACAUAGCAAAAGUUUUCUACAACAUUGAUGAGUGCUCCUGAAAUAAGAUUUGAGUAUUGGAUUAAACCCACGCUCACAUGAAUCACUUCAUGGAAUUUAUCACAAGUGAUUGUGAGACAAUAAUAUCAUAUAGUCUUCAAACCAAGAUAUAUGAGUUGUUGAUUACAAGUUGGUUGUGCAUUGAUAGUGAGAAAACACAACGGUAAUUUGAUGUUAUAAAGCGUGUUGUUGUGUAUGAUUUAACGAGUAAUUAGUACAAGCAUAUAAGUCAAAGUUUAUCUGUUCCUUUUAUCUUAGGACGAUUAAAAGCGAUAUAUUGGGCCCCUCGAUGAUUUUGUCUUGACUUAUGAGUGAGGCCCGGUCAUGACUAAAUUGAUGUGUUCAAUUAAGUUCUGUCUCAAACAAAUCAGAAAUCGGGAAACAAACUGUUGGACAAUAAGUAUGACUAUGUUCCAUGUAUUUGUCCACAUGAUAUCUUGAAGAAUAGAGGAUUAUAUGAUCCCUUAUCUAAAGGACACAUCAGAAUUCGACAACAACUUUUGAGAGCUAUGAUUGCUAAUCGGAUUUUGAAGUUGCAUUAGCAGUUAUAGUUAUUAAACUUAUCAAGGUGGGAGACUGUUGGAUUAGGUGUCUAAGACUAUAACUAUAAUUGGUAUGUACUUGACCCGAUAAUAGUGUGGUCCAUUUUGGGUUGCAUUCACCAGAACAGUUUGAUAGGAUGAAUAUUUAAGAAAGAGGUUAUUUUUGAUUUAUUGAUAUAUUAUAAGUAUAAUAUAUUAAUCGAGAAAUCAUAUUAUUUAAAUAGUAUUGAUCAAGAAUUAAUUUGGAAUUAAUUUUGUGAUCAAAAGAGAAUGAUUAAAUUAACGUGGACUGAUUAUGUAAAUCAGUGACACAUAUGGUUUGGGCUAAUGAUCCAUGAUUGAUUUGUGAUGGACUAAGCUUAUGAGAUAGUCUAUGAAGUGUUAGUCUAAAUCAAUUGUUGGAUCAUAAGCCUAAGUGUAAGAAUUAGGGUUUAAAAGUGACUCUUUGAAUUCUACACUAUAUAUGUAACUUCUAAGCCCUUAAAAUCGACACAAAGAGUAUUUAUUCUAAGAGGAUAUAGACAAUUUUUGGUGCUUUAAGCUCUCUCUCUCUCUCUCUCUCAUUGUCAUCCAAUUGUUGGUGGUGUCUUGUGAAACAUUUGAGGCAUCACACUUGAGGCGUUAAGCUCUUGAAAGGCCAACUUCUACAAGCUACAACAAGAGGUAAUCAUCUAACUAGUUUUUAUGAUUCAAAUAUAAAAUCUGUAUGCUAGUUAGGCUUCAUGCUUUGGAAAAAGAAUAUUGCAUGUAUAGCUAGAGAAAACAUAGAUCCAAAGCAUUAGGGUUGUAUGGGCAACAUAGGGAUGUUAUAGUGCUUAAGACCCAUUAGGUAGAACAUGGGUAGAUGAAUGAUGAGGGAUAAACAACGAUAUAGAUCAAUAUUGGUAGCUACGCCACAACCUGUAGAUGUUUUUGAACUACGAUGUGUUGGAUUAGUGUCUAAGUCCAUAACUAUAAUUGGUAUAUACUUGACCCGACCCGACAUGGUCCAUUUGGGUUGCCUGGCAUUGGAACAUUUGGGUAGACCUUUUAAUGAGAAGAAGAUAUUUGUGACAUAUUAAUAUAUUAUAAGUUCUAAUAUAUUAAUAUGAAAUCAUAUUAUUUAAUUAGUAUUUUAAUUUGGAAUUAAUUUCGUGAUCAAAAGAGACUAAUUAAAUAUAUGGAGAUUGGUUGUGUAAAUCAUUGAUUCUUAUAUAUGUGGGCUUAUGAUCCAUGAUUCCUUAUGUUGGGUGUAACCCAUGUGGUGGCCCAUGGAUACUCCAUGGAGGUUAAAACCCAUGGAGCAUAAGGAAUGGGUAAAGACAUGGGUUACAUGGUGUAACCCUAAUUUGCACACCAUAUAAAGACCCUAUUGUUGGUGAAAUUGGCACUAGUGGACAACAUAGAGGGCAAGCCAAUUUCAUAGACUGAUAAGACUCAUAUCUUCUCUCAUGGUUAUUCCAAAUGUUCAUGGUGUUGUGUGAACCAUUUGAGGUGUCACAUUUGGGGCACUAUGCUCUUGAGCUCCAUGGAAUCAAGCACCAACAAAAGGUAUGUAAUUCUACUAGAUUUUAUAUUACUUGUACUUCAUAAUAUGCUACUUAGGAUAAAUACCUUGGAAAUUGAUAUUUGCAUGUAUAAUAGAGAAGACGUAGAUUUAAGGUAUUUAGGGUUGCAUGUACACCAUAGGAGUGUUAGUAUACUUAAAACCCAAUAGUGGUAUCAGUGCCUAGGCUUGUUUUCAAUUAUACUUGAUGCUAUUUGCAAGAAAAAUUAUUUUUUUUGGAAUAUACCAGUUCACCAUGAGGUGGUAAAAUUUACCACGAGGUGGUGACUGUUCAGUGAAUUUUUUUUAGUUUUUUUGGCCUAUUUUGGAUUACAAUCAUUACUACAAAGUGUUUUUGUUCAUAAAACUUUAUUUUGAUGUUAUGGUAAUGUUUAUUCUCAUCCAAAUAAAUGAUAAUUGUCAAAAUUUCAAGACUUGUUUUAGUUUAUGUGAUUAGUUAAGUUCUUGAAAAUUGUUGAUAUGAUUUUAUCUUCAAUUAUGAGUUUUAUCUUGCUAAUAGAAAAAUUACUUGAUUAUUGUGUUAACUGGUAAUUUGAUCUUAAUGGUUUUUAUGAACUCCAUAACUUGUCCUCAAGUUAUGCAAAAUGAAGAGUUUUUCUUUUAAAGUGUCAUUAAAAGUCAUAGGUUACCAAAAUGAAGAGUCUUUUUCUUAAAAUAGUUUUUAUGGAUUUCAUAACUUGUCCUCAAGUUAUGGAUAUUCAAGUGUCUCUUCAUUAAAGUCUUUAAAACUUUAAUUAAACUCAUAUAUUAUGAAAAUCCAAGAGUUUUGAAAAGUUUCAAUACUUGCCCUCAAGUUUUGGAAUUCGUAAAGUUCUACUUAUGUAGGCUUUAAUUCCAAAUCAUACCCUAAAAUUUUAAAAAGAUUAAAAUUCAACACUUAUACUAUUAUUAUAAUUUUAAUUAUAUAGAUAUGUAUAAGAUAAAGUCAAUCUUAUCAUUAGUAGGCCUCAUUCAUGAAGUCGAUCUAUAAGGGGGGUAUAAGGUUACUGCCUAAAAAAUGUCAGCUUAAUGGGUGUCCACUCUCACCCACCGCUUCCUUGAUUGGUGGAGGGUCGUUAGCUAAACGGUUAGGAAAGGACUAUAAUUCUCCCUUCAUUAAAAGUAUAAUGAUAAAUAAUAAGUAACUAAAUAAUUAUAAAUUCCCAAUCUUAGUUACUUAGGAAAAUGUGAAAUAGGUGCUAACCCAUGAAAUUACACUUCGUACCUUACCAAGUCGUUAGUGGAGCGUGUGUGGUUAACCGGUACACUAAUAAGGACUUGUAAGAGUGGCGAAGGGUAACUUGACUUUAUUAUAAAUCGUUGGAGCAUGUGUGGUUAACCAGCACGUCGAUUAGGUGAUAAAGUUAAGGGUAGCAAGUCAAUUUGCAUGGUUAUUCACACAUUGUUUGUGAUCCUCGGCAUCCCAGUCACAAACUUGAGAGGGAACAAUCGAGAUUCAAACAUGCCAUUGAGAGUUCAAUGUAUCUCAAAAGAUCUAGGAGUUUCAAAUCUAUCUAAAACUUAAUUAUAUUUUGUUUUUCAUGGUGGAAAUUGGUAAAUCGUCAUUUUCCUACCUUCAACUAUUUUAUAGCUUGGAUUACGACAUCCCUCUUCCGGUUAUAUAUAGGUUGUUGGAUCCUAGCCUUAAUAUUUCAUAUUGGGUGUUAUAUUAAGGACUUUAAACUAAUU
rnacentral:lncRNA from 1 species